CUACAUUUUAGAAUAUAAAAGAUCUGAUACUUAGAUACAUACCCGUACCCCAUUCCUAUACCCAAAUCCUAGCAUCAUAGAUUUUUCGUAAGCGACAAUUCCAUUAAGAUCUCAUCGGGGAGAAUCAGUACAAAUCAGAUUUUAAACAUUUUGCAAUUUUCUUUUCAAUACCACAAUUUGUGGCAUCGGGGGAGAAAAUUCUAAUGACAUCUAGCUCGAGUUCAGCUACGAACAAUGUGUUUCAAUGAUCAUGUUUCCAACAAUCUGCAUCACGCAGUAACAUCUUUUCUUUUCAGCACACAAUACAUCAUGUUCAGCAAAUUUUUUGCCACCAGCAACAAAUUCAACCAGUUUUCUCCUCCUUAAUACAUAAACUAAUCCCAACACAUAAACUAAUCCAUAAUCUCUCGCUUACAAUCUCCAAUUCAGUAGAUUUUUAACCUUUAGCAACAAAUUCAACCAGUUUUCUUGUUCUUAAUCCACGAACUAACCCAAAAAUACCAACUUACCCGUUAUUCUCGUUUUUAUUCUUCAGAUCAGGAAAUUUUUAACCUCCAGCAACAAAUUCAACCAGUUUUCUCAUUCUUAAUCCAUAAACUCAUCUCAAUAUACCAACUAUUCCAUAAUCUCCAUUUUAUCUCAUGUUUAAUUUUUAUACCUCCAGCACUAAAUUCAACCAGCUUUCUCCAUAAACUAACCCCAACAUGCCAACAAUAAAAAAAUUAAAGAACCAUAGAAACCCAUCAAGAUUUUAAGCAUAAUUACUUAAAAAAAGUUUCCUACACAAUUUUAAAUCCACCAAAAUCGAUAAUAUAACAAGGAAAUAGAAAAACCCACAAACAAACGAGCAUGAAAUGUAGUCAAUCGAGCAUAGGAAUCCAAAACUGAAAUUAUAAUUAUAUAUUAUGAAUAAAAAUAAAAAGAAUGUAAAGAAAUAGCAGCUGUAUGAAUGUAUUACGACUUCCGAUUUGCCAAUGAGUUUGGCUACAGUGGAAGUGGCUUCAGAGAGGAUGAAUGAGGUGUCAAUGUCCUCCAGGCUCACGUUAGCCGACAGAUUCAGGCACGGCAUUUUUCCCCACAAAAUACUUCUUUCUCUCACACUGACUUCACGCACUCUGGAAUAUUCUUAUUUUGUUAUCCAAGGAGGAAAACAGUUAAAAAUCUUCAAAACACUACUCCGAUUCAAUUUGGUGCUCCAUUUAGUGCUAUUUAUGUUCAUUUUCCAACCAUGAAAAAAAUCCUGGUUAGAUCAUGGGCCAAUCUAGCCAAUAAUGACUAUCACGAUAUAUAAAAAUGACUUCGGUCCUCUAUGAAUGCUUUUAAUACAUGCUUAAUCAUAGUUUGAGAUAGCAAAUUGAUUUGAUUUUUUUGUCAACUUUGAUCGAUCACAUGAUAGGUCGCCUAACCAACAACUUGUAUGUCACGUUUGACUCUAGAUUAGAUCCAGCUCGUUUCGUAGAAUUUUCUAAUUGAUUCCAACCAAGCACAAAUCACAUGGUAUUGUAUUGAAUUUGACCAAGUUUCAAAUGUGACAUAAAAACGAUUGAUUGGUUUGAGUUUUUUAACUUUUAAUUCUUCUAUGCAUGCUCAAUCAUAGUUUAAGUCUUUGAGAUAACAAAUUGCAUAAAUUAAACUUUUUUUUAUCAGUACACAUUUUGCCUUUUUUAACCACUUUUUGUAGACUGCUCGACAAGUCAACUGGCCUACAAUCAUUUCUUUCUUUCCUUACGCACGGUUGUUCACACAAAAUUUAUAUUUAUUUCUCCCUCUCCAUUGAGGUGAGUAGGGUUGAGAUAGACACCUGAAUCUUGUCACAUUUGACUCUAAAUUAGGAUCUAGAUUGUUUUGUAGAGUUUUCAACUCAAGUCCAAUCAAACCAAAUCAAAUUACAUGAGUUUGACCAAGUUUAUACUUUGCAUCCAAUAUGAUUCUACUUUGGCUAUGAUCAAGUUGAAAGUCAAGUGUGAUAUGCCAACCUAUCAAGUGGUGGCGUUUGGUUCAACUUGGAAAAAUCUAAUACAUAUGAAUAAGUUUCACAUAUGUGAAACCCUUUUUUAGUCUUUUGGUCAAAAUGGGAAGUAUUAACCCUAAAUGGAUUUUGAGAAGGUCAAAAUGGGAAGUAUUAAACCUAUAUGAUGAAGAUAUUUAAUAAUAUGCAUUUAACUGGAAUUGAUAAUUUAAGGAUCCAUGAUGAAGAAAAGAGUUUUGAGUCAUAUAUGCAAAUUUUAUGAAGUUCAGAUACUAGAAAACAAUUUCAAACUUUGCGAUGGUUUGAGUUUUGCAAUGAACUCGCAAAAUGAACAUGCCCAAACUUUUUACUUGUAAGGAAAAAUCGAUUUAUUGCAAAACCAACCCAGCUCAACUGGUUCUGUUAGAGUUGGUCGGUUUCCUGACCCAAAUGCCACACAUAGGUCAAGCUACCAUGCCCAAUUUUUCCGAAUGAACAAGCUUUAUUCAUAUCUAAUGCGUCUACUUUACUGGAGGUUAAUAUCGUACAAUAUAUUCCACAAUUGAACAAUUUUGCUUGACCCUCAUACAACCACAUUAUGCAAGGAAAGACUUGCAAGGGGAGUGGACAUAAUCUAUCAACUUUUAGUAUUCAAAAAAUCCAUAAAAUAAAUUUGACAACCAUAGGCAUAAUAUAUUAUAUUAAAACAUCGAAAAUUUAUCUUAAGCCAAUUAUCAUAAAGUAGAUCAUGAAAAGGAUAAAUCUCACAUUGAAUGAAGAUGAAAACCAUAGCUUAGACUAUUUUCGUUAAUCGGUUCAAUAUGGUAUUAGAGCCCAACAAGCUUAAACGAGCAACUUGAUCCGUCUAAAGCUCAACAAAGCAUUCGGAUUCCAAGAUCAAACAAGCCACCACCUUGCAGCUUAGGCUACUCUUAAUGAGGUUGAUCUUUUACGAUGGAAGGAAUCCCAAAACAAGCAAACAGCGUUUAGACUCAAAAGAGCUGCUGCAAUUAUGUGAAAUUGCAAACCAAAACCCGAAGCUAGAGACCAAAAAAUGCAACAGCUUCAACAUUCCAAUUGUCGGCUUAUCUUUUGUAUUCGACAAUUCCAUCAAGAUCUCAUCAGGGAGAGUCAGUACAAAUCAGAUUUUAAACAUUUUGCAAAUUUCUUUUCAAUACCCCGAUUUGUGGCACCGGGGGAGAAAAUUUUAAUGACAUCUAGCUCCAGUUCAGCCACAAACAAUGUGUUUCAUCAAACAUGUUUCCAACAAUCUGUAUCAUGCAUUAACAUCUUUUCUUUUUGGCACACCAUAUAUCACGUUCAGCUCAUUUUUUGCCUCGAGUAACAAAUAUAUCCAGUUUUCUCCUUCUUAAUACAUAAAAUAAUCCCAACAUACAAUCUGAUCCAUAAUCUCUCGCCUACAAUCUCCGAUCCAGUAGAUUUUUAACCUCCAGCAACAAAAUCAACCAGUUUUCUUGUUCUUAAUCCAUGAACUAACCCCAAAAUACCAACUAACCCGUUAUUCUCGUUUUUAAUCUUCAGAUCAUAAAAUUUUAAACCUUCAACAACAAAUUCAACCAGUUUUCUCAUUUUUAAUCCAGCAACUAAUCUCAAUAUGCCAACUAUUCCAUAAUCUCCUUUUAAUCUCAUGUUCAAUUUUUACACCUCCGGCACUAAAUUCAACCAGCUUUCUCCAUAAACAAACCCCAAUAUGCCAACAAUAAAAAAAAUUAAAGAACCCUAGAAACCCACCAAGAUUUUAAGCAUAAUUACUUUAAAAACGUUUCCUACACAAUUUUAAAUCCCCAAAAUCGAUAACACAACAAGGGAAUAGAAAAACCCACAAACAAACGAGCACGAAAUGUAGUCAAUUGAGCAUAGGAUUCCAAAAUUGAAAUUAUUAUUAUUAUAUAUUAUGAUUAAAAAUAAAAAGAAGGUGAAGAAAUAGAAAAGUAUGAACAUAUUACCGCUUCCGGUUUGCCGAUGAGUUUGGCUACAGUGGAAGUGGCUUCAGAGAGGAUGGAGGAGGUGUCAAUGCCCUCCAGGCUCACGUUAGUCGACAGAUUCAGGCACGGCAUUUUUUCCAACAAAAUAUUUCUCUCUCGCACUGAGGCCACACACACUGGUAUGUUCUCUAUUUUGUUAUCCAAAGAGGAAAAAAGUAAAAAAUAUUCGAAACACUAUUCUGAUUCAAUUCUGUGCUCCAUUAGUGCUAUUUAUGUUCAUUUCCAACCAUGAAAAAAAAAANAAAAAUAUUCGAAACACUAUUCUGAUUCAAUUCUGUGCUCCAUUAGUGCUAUUUAUGUUCAUUUCCAACCAUGAAAAAAAAAAACCUAAUUUAGUUCAUGGGCCAAUCCAGCCCAAUAAUGACUAUUAUGAAAUAUUAAAAUGACUUUUAUUCCUUCAUGAAUACUCUUGAUACAUGCUAUCAUAAAUUAAGAUAGCAAAUUGAUUCGAUUUUUUCAUCAACUUCGGCCAAUCACGUGAUAGGUCAACUGACCAAUAACUUGAAAGUCACGUUUGACUCUAGAUUAAAUCCAACUCGUCGCGGAGAAUUUUCUACUUGAUUCCAACCAAACUCAAAUCAUAUGGUAUUGUAUUGAGUUUGACCAAGUUUCAAAUGUCACAUAACAAGGAUUGAUUGGUUUGUGUGUGUGUGUGUGUUUUUUUUUUCUUCUUUUCUUUUUUUUUUUUAUGCACGCUCAAUCAUAUUUUAAGAUAACAAUUUGCCCAAAUUAAACUUUUUUGAUCGGUACACACUUUUUUUUCUUCACCUUUUGCAGACCGCUUGACAAGUCAAUUGGCCUAUGAUCAUUGCUCUCUUUGCUUUCCCACACUUGUUUGCACAAAAUUUAUAUUUAUUCCUCCUUCUCCAUUGAUGUGAGCAAGAUUGAAAUAGACUCCUGAGUCUUGUCAAACUUUACUUUAAAUUAGAAUCUAGCUUAUUUUGUGGAAUUUUCAACUUGAUGCCAACCAAAACGAAUCUAAUUACAUGAGUUUGGCCACGUUUAAUCUUUGUAUCCAAUAUGAUUCUACUUUGACUAUGAUCGAGUUGAAAGUCAUGCAUAAUAUGUCAUCUUAUCUAGUGAUCUUGUUUUAUUCAUCUUGGAAAAAUCUCAUACAUAUGAAUGAGUUUCACCUGUCCGAAACCCUUUUUAAGUCCUUACGGUUGAUUUUAUAUAUUUUGUCAUCUAUUAAGUUGCCAGUAUUUGUAAAAGCAGAAAAGUAAUAAAUAAAUUUGCAUUGUUCGCAUUUUUUUCUUCUCCAGUUCAGAGUUUUCAAGGGAAAAAGGCCGUACCACUUUGAUCUGGAUUGAGUUUUGCAAUGAACCUGCAAACUUCUUACUUGUAAGGAAACCCGAACAAAAAUCGAUUUAUUGCAAGACAAACCCAACUCAGCCGGCUCGAUUCGAGUUGGUCAGUUCCUGGUCCAAAUGCCACACAUAGGUCAAGCUAUCAUGUUCAAUUUUGUCAGAUGAACAAGGUUUAUUCAUAUCUAAUGUGUCCACUAUAAUAAAGGUUUAGUAAUAUUGUACGCUAUAUUCCCCAAUUGAUGCUCGCCCUCGUACAAAGGAGAGAAAUUUAUCAACUUUUAGCAUUAAAAAAAUCCAUAAAAUAAAUUUGCCGACCAUAGGCUUGAAUAUAUUAUAACUGAUGGGAAUACUCCUUUUUUUGGUUCAAUGCCAAUAGACCAACCAAAUUAUUGCACCACUUUGUGGUUCUCUUUUAGCUAAUAUAAUAGGGUGUCAAUGCAACUCUUAGUGAAGAAGAAAAUCUAAAAACUUGUGGGCCAAUCGGGUUCAGCUUGUCUUGGCAAGGCCCAAGGUUGGCUCAGUCCACUGCCACCCUUGAGUCUGCCGUCGAAUACUUUUAUUACAUGCUUAAUUAUAGUUUAAGAUAACAAAGUAUACCAACUAAACAUCUCCAUCAAUGUCUCUGAACUUGUGCCCAACUAGGCAAGAAGUCGACUGGCCAACAAUCAUAUUUCUCUUGUUACGAUUAGCUCAAGAAAAAUCAGCCCUUUUUUCACAAAAUAUGAAAUAAGAAACUGAAGAUGAAAGAAACAUAAAGAAAAAAUGCAAGAACACGAUAUUUUCACCCGAAGGUAAGAGGUUCGGAACCGAAGUCCCUAAUCCCCUUUUGAGCUUCCGUCACCGGAAGGAAUCACUAUAUUAACCGGAAUUCCAAAUAUUACAGUUCACAGUUCAUGGAACUCAGGCGAAAUCACAUCAAGACUUCACAUACAACAACCCACAGAGCAUAUAUUGAACAUCCACUCAAGGAUCGAACCCUAUGAAACCACUCAAGAUCUACUAUGGGGCUGUAAUAACAAUCAAUCUACAGGGGCUUUGUUUGAGUGCAAAAAGAAACGAAGAACCAACAAAAUGAGAGAGAACAGAGAGUUUGAGAGAGAUGGAGCUGGUAAAAAAUGAAAAGCCACUAAUUCCAUGCCCUAGAAGCCAACACAAUAUAGAAGCAGCUGAAAGAUCUCUCAUCAACGGUGAGAGAGGUGACACUUGGCAAGAUCUGGUGCAUCUGUUCUUAUUAACAAAAACGGGUUUAAUCAAAACACGUUUUUUUAUCUCAAUCCGGUCAGCCCAGUCAGCUCAGCUCAAGUGACAAAUGAUCCAGCCCACAAGCCCAUCAGUUUUAUUCCAGCUCAAUAAUCAUUGUGCCACAAUAAUUUUUCUCUACAUCUCUCUUUCUUUAAUCGUGCGCGUACAAGUUAUUCCUCCUCUAUACAUUGAAGUUAAGUAGAAUAGGUAGGGGUGGACAUUUUAAUCAAGAUCAAACCUUUCGAUUUGGAACCGAACUGGAAAUAUUCUACGAUUUUUUGUUAGAAUAAAAACCGGUCGGCAAUUUGGUUAAAUGGUAUCGACACAAGAACCAAAAAUUAUUGUUCAGUUUCGGAUCUUGAAACACCCAAAUUGGACCAUCCGAUACCUACGCUCUCAGAAUAGAGAGAGACAGGUGAAACUUUAUCAUACUUGAUAGUAGAUUAGUGUUCAACUUGUUUGGUAGAACUUUCAACUCAACCCCAAAUUCCCAACGAGGAAAAUCACUAAGUUUGACGAAAGUUUAAUUUUUUAUCCAAUAUGGUCGUAUUUGAGCAAAAUUGACUAUGAUUUAGAUAAAAAAAAAAUAUUCCACGUCAAUCUAGCCAUCUUUGUUUAGUUCAGCUUGGAAAAAAUUUCAUGCAUGUGAAUAAGUUUCAGAUUUUUGAAACUCUUUUUCGAUAUUUGUGGUCAAUUUUAUAUAUCUUUCUCCAUUAAAGUCCCUAGACUUUGUAUUAAUUUAAAAAGUAGAUAAAAGUAAAUAAUGGAUUCACAUUGUUCCUAACCAUAUUGGAAUUUUCAAGGGAAACAGCCACUCAACCAUUAGUACAUCUUCUGAAGAGGGUCGACCUACCAUGUCCAAUUUUUCAAAUGAAAAAGCUUUAUUAAUAUCUAAUGCCACUACUCGAUUGGAAGUCGAGUAAUAUUGUUCACUAUGUUUUCCUAAUGAACAAUUUUGUUAGAUCUUCAUACGACCACUUUAUGCACUAUAAUAGAAUGUAGAUUAUCAACUCCUAGCAUUCAACAGAUCCAUAAAAGAAAAUUCGCCAACUGUAGGCUUACAAAAUAUAUAUCAAAACAUCGAAAUUUUAUUUCAAAGCACGAAAAUUCAUUCAUAAAUUCAUAGUUUAAAGUUUGGAGUUUUGUCUCCCCAUUGUUGUAUCAAACACCUUUAGGACAAAUCUUGUUCUCGGAAUAUACAAUUUGUUCUCUAAAAUUGAACCAAGUGUAGCAAUCAGCUUCCUUUUUACUUCAGUGUUGAUGCCACCCAUUGAUACAAUUUCUGCCAAUGCUGCUGGUUCCUUAUUCCCUCCAAAUGUUAAGGUUACAGAACCUUUUAACAGAAUCAUCACAAACUACGAAAACAGAAACACACAAUUAGUAGAAAAAGAAGUUCGAAUCCUAUAAAGAAAGGCUUGGAUAAUAAACAUAAGGGCCAAUAAACCGUAAAGGUAAAGUAUAGAAUUUGUUAUACAAAUUGUCAUUGUCUUCUUGCCUAAAGCAUAUGACAGAAUCACUAUCAGCUCGACCCAGCUCUGAUCUUAAGUUGCAUAAAAAAGUGCAAAAUUAAGAUAUCUGUAUCACUUGCCCGACUAACUAUAUAUAGAAGAACAAGUAAUAUAGACAUUCGUUUUGCACUUUUACUACACAACUUUUAUCCAACUUCAGUUCCUAAGUCAAGGAUCGGGGUUUCAACGUCACAGAAAUCUCGCACUGGUGUAAGCUGAUAUCGAUGGUGACUUGCUCAAGGAAGCUUUUAUACAAGAAGUAAAAGUAAAAGUCCUGUCAAAUGGAUCCUAAAUAAAAGUUGGAUUUGUGGGAAGUGUCAAAAUUUUCUUAAGUGUGGUAGGUUAUUCUUUACUGAUUCUAAAACUUCUUUCUGCAGUCAACAUUUCUUUAAUGGUUAUUGAAAAAUUUAGAUUAGAACUUGCUCUAACAAUUUAAAUCAUUAUACAUAUUUUGUUUUUCAUAAAACCUGUCAAAUUCAAGAAAUAGCACUGUUCAUAUGAUGUGAUUCUCCUUCCAAAUAUCCCUCAAAAAUAAAAGAAACCCCCCAAAGAUCAAUAUAGUCCUUCCAAAAAGAUACCUGAAAUGCAACUAUAAAUCUAAAUUUUUUAGUUCUAUGUAACGAUUAAUUCAUCUAAAAGAUUAAGUCAUUAGAGAGACAAUAAAUUAAGCUGAUACAUAAAUUUCUCAUAAAUAGGAAGUUGAAAAAAUUGAACUCACAGCGUCUGUUUUCCCUUAACACCAUUUCAUUUAGCUAAAACCAAGUCAUCUUCAACACAACGGCCCAAAUUGAUUGGACUACUCACUCCUCUCUUUGGUUCAAUGCCAACAGACUUGCUGACAAAAGUAAAACUGUCAUUUGAUAGAUUCCUUAAAUUAGAACUAUUCCUCCAAAUUAUUGCACUAGCUUGUGGUUCUCGUAUUGCCCUCCCUUUUAGCUAAUAUAUGGUGUCAAUGCAAAUCUUAGCUAAAGGAGCAAAGAUUUCAGUUCUUAGGUACGUUGAAUAUUAAAAUAAAAAAUAAAAAAAAAAUUCCAAGGGCCCACAAACCUUUUAUCUUUAAUUUUACGUGAGAAAAGAAGAAACUUGUAGAGUUUAGAUCAUCUCCAACCCUGCAUCAAAAUUUGCACAAUUUUGCACCUAAUAGAAAAUCAUCUUCAACCCAUUACACAAAAAGUUGCAUAAAAUGAAUAGUGUUUAAUAAUUUUCUUUAUUUUUUAAUUCUUAACAAUUUAUUCAUCUCAAAAAUUAUUUAUUUGUUUAUUCAUUUUUUUACUACAUAAAUUUUAAAAUAAAUCAUUACGUUUAGUUAACAAAAAUACUGAAUUCAUUAAUAAGUUAAGAAAAUGUAGCACAAUUAUUAGGAACAUACAAGAAGUAAGAAAAUAUUAAAUCAUAAUACUAAAAAAGAGUGUAAUACGUUUUGAAUCACAAUAUCAUGAUAGUACAAAGUCGAAAUAGUAUUAACAAUUAAUUAUCAUUGAUUACAGAUGCAUGUAAUAAUAACAACAACAACAACAAUAACAAUAACAAUAACAAUAACAAUAAUAAUAAAUUUAGAAUUAAAAUUUAUUGUAUAACAAAUGGACAAAUAUACCCUUAAAAAAUUGGUGCAAAGUGGAAGAAAAGGGUAAAAAUGUAUUUAACCAUUUUGGUGGUGCAAUACUAUUCAUUUGCACCAUUUUGGUGCCAAUAGGUUGGAGGAGAUUUGCACCAAAAAUUUGAUGCAAUUCGGUGAAUUAUGGCGCAAUGGGGAUGGAGUUGGAGAUGCUCUUAGGGCGUUGCAAAUAAGCAUAGAGUUGUAUAUUACUAUGAAUCACCGAAUUCUUAAACGGAAAUGACAAACUUAAGUCAGUCUUUGCACGUGCACGUGGAAUACAUUUAUCAUAAAAUGCCCAACAUAUGCACAAUUUUUAUCAAAGGGGGAUGGGAAAACAGGAACCUUUAUCCGGUGGUGAUUGAUCGAAUGGUCCUCUCCCUUGUUUGUAAAGAACAAUUGGUAAAAGGAAUGAACUUUUGAUAAUUGGUUGAUUUGAAAUGUUGGUUGAAAUAGUUAGAAUAAUGAAUCAAUGCGUCUGUUAUCCCCUCUUACUUUCCCUUUUUAUUGAAUUGUCAAUCCCUAGCUUAAAAGCUUCGAGGUUUCAAGAAACUGCUCGAAUUCUAGCAAAAACAGCUCUUGGGAUCGAGCAAAACACUUAAAACCACAGUAUAUAAACUGAGUUUAAUCAAGAUCAAUACUUAAAACCACAGUAUAUAAACUGAGUUUAAUCAAGAUCAAUUUCCUUCUCCCUCCCAUUCCAUCAAAUCCACAGUACUUAAUUGCUUAAAAUCUUAGUUUUCAAGAAACUGCUACACUUUAAGCAAAAACAGCUCUUCAGUUGGAGCAAGAUCCUUAAACCACGGUACAUAAACUCAGAUAAAUUUCUUCUACCAGCACCAUUGCCAAGGUUAUAUAACAAAAAAUUCUUGUCUGAAAUCUAACAUGACCAAGCCCAUAAUUAUUACAACAUUAAUCCCACAGUAAUAGAGAGAAAGACAGCUUACUUUUUCAGGUUUUCCGAUGAUUUGAGAAACAGCCUUUGUGAGUUCGGAAAAGAUUGAAUCUGUGUUGAUUCCAUCGAGGUUAACGUUGGUUGAAAUAUCAAGACAAGGCAUUUUCCCUCUUUUUUUUCUUGAUUUCUCCUGUCUGUAGGGACUUUUGCUUAUAAUUUUUUUGUGGGCAACUCCUUUUUGUCCACUCACCUUCAUAUAAUUGCUUAUUUAUGGACAAAUUUUAUGUCACAAUCAAGAAUGAUGACUGCCCACCCCAUUGAACAACCUAGUUUCAAUUGAGGUUGCUCUUCUUUUAUUUUACCUGGUUUUGUGAAAAAAGAUUUUUUUCGAUGGGUUUUGAGCAUUUUUCCUAAAUAACUCCAACACAACGAGACGUGUUCAUAUUGUGCAUAUAUUUUUACCAAUACGAAGAAAAUUAAGUUAGCCUCAAUUUGAAGUGAAGUUACUUCACUUUUUGGUCGGUUGUCGACAAGUAGGAAUUCUAACUCUCAAUAUGGUAUCGAGUUGAAUUAUCAUACAUACUAGGAAGAUUCAAAGUGGCAAAACAUGUUUCUCACGAAUUUAAUAGGACUUUUAAAGAAUUAUCAGUACAAUAUAAGUCAUUAUAGACUUAAUUAACUCGAAUCUUUGUAGCAGAAAAAGAUUAUGUAACCGACUUCAUAUUGAUUUACAAUAUGAUUUUAUCUGUCGCAACUUAUUAAUAUUGCAUUACUUGUAAAUAAGCAUAUUUUGAAUGUAUAUUUUGUGUUCCUAUUACACUCUUAGCCUCUAAAGGAUACCUCAUUCAUUUCGUAGAGGCUAGAACCUUGAAUUCUAAGUUCAAAAUAUAUAUGAUGCGAAGUGCUUACAAAGUUAAAGACAUUUGGCCCCGGGGGGCGGGGGUUGCAAAACUGGGGUGGGGGGUCCCCAACUACUUGUGUUCUCACUCAAUAACUUUACAACUUGUUGGUUGCAUUUAUGUAGUUCUUGUCCAUACAUGAUGUUGAAAGCUAGCAAUUUCGACAAAAAUGUUCAGACAACUUUAGUGUCUGUUUGAUACCCAUUAAUUUAUUUUAUGAUUCGCUAAAGAUUAUUUUCAACUAAAUAUUUCACUGUAUCAAAAAAAAUUUCCUACUUUUUAUCUACUCAUUCUCCAAAAAAUCACUAUUCAAAACUUUUUUUUUUCCCCAACAAUAAUAGUUGUCAAACAAGCUCUGAUAUACCCCCAAGUUGAUGAUAAUGUAGGCAAAUCAAGAUUGGAUUUUUUGAUUGUCACUUUCAAUUGUUGGACCGAAACAAAUAAAUUAUUUGAAAGGAGGUUUUGUAUUGAAAUGUUCGUGAAUAAAAGUUGUGUUAUUCGACAUACGUAAAUUGUGUCAUAAACGUGUCUAGUUCCAAUAUUGAAGAGUAAUGUACAAGAUAGCCCAAAAAUAAAAAAUAAAUAAAAAUCAACUUUUCCUAUAUAUUAUGUUUAGUCCAAUACAGCAAAGAUAUGAUAAAGAAGCACUAUAUUUGUUACACUAAGUGAUUGCUCCACUUUAUUUCAUGUAAAAUAAUAUAUCCUCUUGUCCACUUUUUGGCUUGAUGCGAGCAAUUCGUUACACUUUUCUUCAAAUUUAAUAUAGUACAUACAAAUAUUUAGCAUAUAAAAAUUAAAUAUGUGAGAAACUGCUAAUAAAUCAAACCAUAUAAAAUAUUUGAUAAAUUUUUAAUUAGCUUAUCAAAUUGUUAUAAAACGUGUAUUUCUGUCUAUUUUUUAAUUAUUUAUCAAUUGUUAUAUUUGCAAAACAUAUAAACUUUGUAUAGAAAUAAUUAAUUUUUUUAAUUUUUCAAAUAUUCUAGCAAUAUUUAUAAUGAUCUUAUGUAACUCAAAAGUAUACAGAUCUCUAUUCUAAAAAAUAAGAAAGAAAGAAAUGAUUAUUGUGUUCCACUAUGGUAUUUGUAAUUGACCUUCCAUGUUAUUGGACUUAAAUAUUAUUUAAUUAACCGUAUCUCUUUUAUUUAAACACAUAGUCCGUUAAAUCUGUAUCUCUCUUAUUCAAAUAACUUUUAGUUAAAAAGGUCAUUCAAUUGUGUGUUCCACUUGCAUAAUAAAUGCCCUCUUAUCUACUGUCAGCACUAAAUUACUUCCUCCGUUUCAUUUAUGUAGAUUAGUUUUAUUUUUCACAGGAAUUAAAAAAUCUUAUUUAAUGUUUUUUAAAGUGAUUUAUGCCAAAAACAUUUCUAGUUUACCUAUAUUUAUAUUUGUACAGAUUAAAUGAGAAAAAUUAGUUAUAAUCAGAUAAAUUAAAUAUGAGUAUAUUAGUAAAUGAACAAAAUAAAACAUUUAAAUAUGAGUAUAUUAGUAAACGAACAAAAUAAAACAUUCUCAAUAAAGAAAUAUGACUAUAUAUUUGGAAUAAGAAAAUAAGAAAAAUCAACUUAUAUAAACGGGAAGAAGAGAGUAAUUUAUCGUGAAUAGUAAUACAGCCACCUAAGUUUACUCUACCAUUCUUUACCUUAAUUAUGAUAAUCUUAUCGACUCCCGAGGCAUAGCUUAGUGGUGCAAAGGACAGGAGUGAAGUUAUCUCACGCCUUGCUGACAGUCGCAGUGUGAGGAUUCAAUUCCUGAAACAUGGAAUUGGACUCCUUGUAGACGCAGUGUACAGACAGCUCUUGUUCCUUGAUCUGUUGGAGCACAUUCCGCGAUUUACCUCCCUCACCAAGCUCUAAGGGCGGGACGGUGGGAACCCUCAAGGUUGGGGUUCAACCUUUUUUUUUUUAUGAUAAUCUUAUUAAUUUUUUCACAUAAACAAUAAUAAAUUACCUAGCCUAGCAACUGUAUUUGUGGCAUUAACUCAUAAUAACUAUAAUAAUUUUUCUUGAAAUCUGAGAGAGGGGACCGGGCUAAAAGAGUCGCAAAUCGAGGAGACCAAUGAAGAAAAAAGAGAGAUGAAAACAGGAAAGUCCACUUGUCGUUGUCCAUUUGCAAUCAAACAAACGUUUCAUCGUAAGGGGGGAAAAAUAAUAAAAUAAAAAAAUAAAAAAUAAAAGAGGGGUGCCCAUCAAUUAUCAAAACAUUGGAAUAGCCCAAAAUUUGUCACUAAUUUUAUAAGAGUCUAAUCAAUAGCCAGAUCCAUUAAAAACAGAAGUUCCCAAGAAACACAUUGCUUAUCUCUGGUGUCCAUUGCACUGUACAAUAGUAUUUAAUCUCUAUAAACCCAUCCCAGAGCUUUCCAAAACAAUGGAUAAUAAGGAAACUUGCUUCAAAAUUCUCUCGUUUUAUCAAUUUCGACCCACUUUUAACUCUCUCCCAAGACAAUAGCCGAGGCGAAGCACCUUUUACCAACGGCCUUCAAGUUUGUUUCUUGCCAACCUCGGCCCUCGUAUCUUUCAAUCUGUCGUUGCAUUUCUAGUGUCAGCUAAAUGAAUACGUGUUGUGUAAAGAAAGAAAAUUCAUGAAUGUGAAAAAAGGCCAAAAAUGUACGAACAUUGUCCACUGUGCCAUUAGCAGUAUCAGCGCCACCAAUUACAUAUAUGGAUUCGUUUAGAAUGGCAGUAGCUGAGUAUCCCCUGGCUCGGUUAAGAGGCUCAUCUGUCAUCCACUUUCCAAGUCGGGGGUCGUAUAUUUCCAUGCUGCGCACCAUCUCAAUUCCAUCAUAGCCACCAAUGGCGUACCUGAAGGGCAAUAAUCCAUCUUAAGUAAAGUAUUCGCUUAUAAGCACUUAAAAGCACUACCAAACAAACAUUUAAUGAGAGUCACUGCAAGUUUUCGAGACAAUUGUAAGUCAAUUACCUUGUUAAUCUAAAACUUGGGAAGAAUCUUAAAGUCAUACUUACUUUCUAUGAAAUACAGAUUACCAAAGAAAUCUAUAAAAAGGAUCCUCCAACAACCCAAUGGCACAUCCGGAUGGAGUGAAAAAAGACAUACACGCUCUUAAUAUCUCGAGACUAAAUAGUGAAAACAGACAAAGAACUUACAACUUCUCAUUCAUGACAACCAAUGAAUGACAACCUCUUGGUGUUUCCAUACUUGCAAUCCUAGUCCACGAGUGUUCUCUUGGGUCAAAUCUUUCAGCAGACCUGACACGGGUGGUAGAUAAUCUUGGAGAAGCUACUUUCAUAAAGUUUGUAAUAAUUUAAAGUUAAUCGAAAUCUCGAAAGCAAUAAAGCAAGGCACACAUAGAAACAGAAACUUAUAGUUGUUCCCUCUCAAAGUAAGAGCCACAUUCACUUGCUGCUACAGAAAUUCCACUUUAAUCUAAAGGUUUAAUAAUGGGGAUUUGAGCCUGUAAGUGUAUAUUACGUUCUACAUAAAAUAGGGCUCUGCUAAUAUCCUUUGUAUGGUAGAAACAUUAUGGUAACCUGAUAGAAAUAUGAAUGUUCAUAUGCUAUAAUAGUAACUUUGAAAAAUAAAAAUAAUGAUCCCCAUCUGAAUUUGUCAAGAUCAUGUCAUCUUUCCAGAGCAACUAAGGCUCCAUUGCAACCCUCACUUUCUGUUGCUUGCACCUUAUAGUUAACAGAAAGAAGGAAAUAUAAAAUACAGUGACUUCAAAACUUACUUCAAAUAUUCUUUACCAUCAUAUCCACCAACAGCAUAGAUUGCACCAUUGUACUCUGAUGCAGCAAGAGAAAAACGCUGAAAAAGAAAACAGUCAUCCGAGGGCACAUCAAACAACAAUGAUUUAGACUUCAAGAGACAGCAAAUAAUGACGGAUAAAAUCUACUAAACACAUUUAAAAAGAGAGAGAGAGAGAGAGAGAGAACAUACAGACAAUAUUUUACAUGUUUGCAAAAUAUUUCCAUCAUAUCGCUUGUGAUGGAUAUCAGCAUUGGUAAUAAGACUCGUAACAUCACUUUCUCUGGAUCGAAAUACUUUAUAAUGUUUAGGACUCUUAUCACUCAGAAUUUAUUUCUUAACCAUACAUGUUGAUGUUACCAAUCAAACCAAACAUAAAAUGUCGAAACUUCAACACAAUUUUCAAGUAUCAUGAUAAGUGUAUAAUAUACAUUUAUUCGGAGCCUAAAAUAGCAAUAUUUGAUAGUUCUUUUGACAAAUAUAUCCGAAAUUAUUGUAUUUUAUGUUAUAUAGGUAAAACUCAAUUAUUGAACGAGAAAUUGAAAGGAGAAAUUGGUGAAAAAAGGUGAAAUCCAAAGUAUGGGGACUAAAUUUCAACAUUUCAAUAGUUGAUUCAGACGAUGAAACGAAGAUUGAAGAUGUUAUAAGUUUAAUUGGACACAAUUAAAGUUAAAGGACCGAAAUUGCAAGAGAAAAUGACUUAAAAGAAUCAAUAAUCGAAUUCAGGGGCCAAAACGCAAAGUUUGAAAUCCAAGUGACCACUCGACUUAAGAAAUAAAAAGCAGUGACUUCAAACUUGGCCUGGGCGAGUACUCAGAUUUUGCCUUGGCAAUCUAAGAUCACGACCAGUUUUUUAUUCCACAUUCUACAUGAAAACCACUUUCUUGUAUGAUAUUGAACUAAUUUCACCUUUAUAAAUACAAAACAUUGGCAGUCAAUAUAAAACAUCUCUCAUAUACACAAUAUACUCCAAUAUUCCAUCAAUUCAUACACUAAAGGAAAGGCAAAUUCAUAGUUUUCGUGAGAGAAUUUGCAAGAAUUCAAUCAAAUGAACAUUUAAUUGAUUUUUGGGCAAAGGAGAAAAUGCGCAAGUGGAGAUUCAUCAAAAAACUAUCAAAGAGAUUCAAGAUUUCAAAAUUCAUCUUCAUCUUUUCAAUUUAUCAAAAAUUCAAGUUAUGUCUUUUCACUUAAAUAUGAUUUCUUGUAAUUUCAAUAUGUUAGUCUUAUUUUGUACAUUGCUAGAAUGAAAUGAACCAUUGCUUUGAUAUUUUUAGUUUUUAAUUAAUUAUUUUUACUUUAAUUUGGUUUGAUUUGUGGAUAUUUAUUAUCGUUUUUAUCGUUCUUUUCAAUUGUUUGAUCAUCAAUUGAAUUGUUAGUGAAUUUUAUUGUUAUCGAGAAAAACAAUAGAGUUUAAGUACAAUAUAAUAAACAUUGUAAAGUUCGAUGGAUGAUAGAGAUAUACCUCUAUACUUUAUAUGAUUUCAAUGGAUGUUCUAGUACUUGUUAAUGCAUUUAUCAUGUUUGCAUCUUUUAUCGAAAGAUAGAAUUGUCACAUGAGAAGAAUAGAUUUAAUCGUUAUCAAAAGAUGCUUUCAAUUAAAUCAAGAACAUUGAUCAAUAUGAAUGAUUUCAAAUUGUCAUUUUAAUUUUUACACUAAAAUUGAAAUAACAAUGGGGAUUCAACAUCUUAACAAUGCAUUUCACAUAUUUAAAAAACACAUUUAUUUGCUUUCACUAGUUUAAUUGAUAAUUUAGGAAUUAGUAUAGAAAAAUCACAAAACUUGUUUACUAUUAGAUUAAACUUGCAUUUAAUUUUAACUCGGUCAAAUAUAUAGUUCUCGUGAGUUCGACACUCUAUUUAUCAUUAUAUUACUAGACCACGAUCCCGUGCACUUGCGGGUUUCUAAAUGAUCAUACCAUAAAGAUGAAAUGCGUUGCAAUUAAGAAGAAAAAAGAAACUAAAUAAGAAAAGCACCAGCCUAAAAUUGUUAUAUAUUGAAGCAUGGAUUAACUUUUAUAUCUUCAGCAAAAAGCUAGAGUCUACAAAGUCUUGAAGUUUAACAGAGAAAGAAGUACAGAAAAUGUAAAAAAAUUCUUCUGUUGGAACAAUUCUUUAUAAAUUAUGAUCAAUAUAAUCUAUGAUCUUUAUCAAUAAGUAUAUUUAAUUUAGUAAGUCACCUUUUGUAGCAUAGAGCGUGUCGAAAUCCAUCGUCCAACUUCCGAAUCGAACAUUUCAACACAUGAAAAGCUUUCAACUCCAUUUCCUCCACCUAAUGCAAAGAUUUUUCCAUCUAACACAGCACUAGCUAAGUUUCCCUUUCUCUCAUUCAAGGGUGGGCGUAGAGUCCAUUGAUCGUUAAAAGGAUUGUAUGACUCAACUUAAAAAAAAGCAUAAAACUGUUAAGCGAGAGAGAGGGAGAGGGGAGGGGGGGAGAGAGAGGGGAGGCACAAGUAAACACCUGUAUCAUACCACAAAGCGCCAUUUCCACCACCAAAAACGUAAAGUUCUGCAUUUAACUUAGCAACUGAGGCAUAUGCUCGUACGGAAGACAUGGGCUUCAGAGAUUUCACCACAUCAUGUAAAGGUGAAUACGAAUGCAAUGCUGAUGACCAUGAUUCACCAUCAUAUCCUCCCACUAGAAAUAUUAAUUCAUCAAGAUUGAGGUGAAGUCCAUCAAAUGACACCACUGCUUCCUCAGCCUGUGUCACGAAAAGACACGACCCAGACUCCAAUGCCAUACAUCUAUUUUCCAGUCGAUAAAUUUCUUCUUCUGCUACAACCUGAAAUGCCAUGGUGAAAGGGAAUGUAAGUACCUGUCAGCAUUGAUAAUAAAAAGACUGACACAAUUUUGUCGAACAAACCAUUUAUGCAGCAAAGGUCCAAAGCAUAUUAUUGUGCAAGAAGAAGGCGGCAAAGCUUCAACUGUUAGAUGCUUCAGAGUAAAAGCUCAAAUAUAGAUAUUUCUUUAGGAAUGCAAUGAACCAAAAGAAGAAAAGUCAUGCAGGAGUAAGACUAUUUUCUCUAUAAAUCCUUUCUGGACUGCUAUUGUUAGAUUGAGUUUUUCUUUUUUAAUGUCAAGUUAGUAUUUUUUUGGUUUCCAACUGGUAUUAAGAUUACUUUUCCGAGUGAUUAAAGUCUUCCUAGUCAUAAAAUGUUUUGUACAUUGAUGUUUUCAAGAGCUUAAAAGGUCGGAAAAAUAAAACGAGGAGUUCUGAAAUUUAUGAAUUCCUCAUCGAGUAUAUUUGAAGAAACAGAAACUUUUGACUCAUAAGAAGAAAUUGAUACGGAAUAGCUAAUCCUUUUACUUCUAUAUGCCAACUAAACAAUAUAUAUAUAUAUGAUUUCAGUAGCUCAAAUCCAAAUCUUGAUUCUUUUAUACCUUUCACCUUUCAUUUUGUCCGAUUUUCAUAUAAUUCAAGAACUACACUGCCUACAUGAACAUAUAUCUAGCUUCCUUAUGAGUUUCAAUUUACUUCCUGGAAUAUAACGUGUUAAACCAUGUGAUGAAUCUAGGUUUUUCUUUGUUUUUUUUUUUUUUUUUUUUUUGGGUUAUAUAUAAUUUUUUUUUUUUUUUUUUUUUUUUUUUUUGGGUUAUAUAUAAAUCUGAAAUUUGCCGGUUUUUUCAUUAUUGCAAUUCUAUGUUUGUAAGCACCAAAAUACAUUUGAGAAAAAGGCCAAGGUCCUUGACAGAUUCCAUUCAACAUGGGUAAAAUAAUUGAUUACGUUUUUUAAGAGUUGUCUGUGAAAGAAAAUGUACCAGCUUCUUUUCUAAACUUUCCAUCUUCUGAGUUUGCUCUUUCUUGAAAGCCUUUAGUUCUUCAAUCUCCUGGCACAACUGCAUUCAACAUAUAAAUAUAGGAGUUAAUGAGUUAUAUAUCUCAAUGGGCAUAAGCAACAGUGGAUACAACAGCAUACCUGUGUUAUUACAACAGGAUAACAAGAUAAAUUAAAAGAACGUCCAUUAUUUCCCUCUUCUGAAGCCACUGGAGCUUUUUCAGCAGUUUCAAGCCCCAAAAAAUCAUCCGCUAUGGCAGAUUCUACUGCAUUUCCUUCCUUAACCGCAUCGGUGUGCCCACCAUUGGGUUGCAAUUCUUUUAAUUUCAUGUAGAUAAAAUUCUUUUGAUCAACAUCUACCAUUUGAUUUUGCAAGGCUGCCUCUGGGAAUUGGUUAUUUCCAUCCAAACACAGAGAAUCAUCUUUAGCACCCAUUGUACCAAUUGCAUCAUAGGAGAUUGCAAAAUUAUCUGUUGAAGAUGGUGGAUAUGAAGUUCCAUUCUCCUUUCUAUUGUCAUUUGAAGGGAACCUCAGCAACGUAGCUGUCCUAUUUUCUGCAAUUUGUGGUAUAAACGUGCUUGGAGAAACUGCUAAAGAAGAAAGUUUGGACAACAACUUGCUUGCUUGAGCAUGAUCCAGCUCAAACCAGAAAUGGUUUAGAGAGUAAUAGUUGUCAACGAUUAUUGGCUUAUACUGAAGUUCAGGAAGUGCUUGACAUUGAGUCCGCAUACGAAUCUGAACCUUUUUGCAUAAAAAACAAAUGAAACAAAAAUAAAACAUAAGGCUUUUCUAAGACAAGAAGCCAGAUAACACCAACAAAUCCAUCGAUUUCAACUAUAGAAAUUGUUGAACCACCUCAUUUAAAAAUUUAAGCUGAUAGAGAAGACAUGUUUAUAUAUUUAAAUUUAGCCCCUGUUUGAUCCCCAUUUUUGGGGAAAAUGUAUUAUGGAAUAGUGAUUUAUUGGAGAAUGUGUGGUUAAAAAGUAAGAAUUUUUUUUGAAAUACGUGUAUUAUUAUUUUAUAGAAGAAUGUGUGGUUGAAAAUGAAAAGUAAAAAAAUGCAUUCUUAUAAAAAUGGGGAUCAAACAGGGGCUUAGUCUUCUGCACAUCCCCUCAGGUAAAGGUUGGGUUUAUUUUUUCAUCAUAGACUUGACAUGUCCACAACUUCCAUAAAUGGGUGGAGGUGAAAUUUGAUCUCAUCUUUGCCUACUUUAAUACCAUGUUAUACCAUCUUAUUUAAAAGUUUAAGCAGUUAAAGGAAAAUAUUUAUUCAUUCAUACUUUAGUCUUCAACAUAAAAAACAAUAAACUCAAGGAGACUGCUAUACAAUACCUGAGCUGGAUAUGGUGUUUUCUCUGAACCAUCUGAUGUCCAUGCGUAAGGAUUGAUGUUCAGUUGGCCGCAGCUGGCAGCUUCAAAAAUACCAUGAAUUGUUCUAUCGCUGUAGUUAAACAAAAACAGCGGCAAACCGGGCUCUAUAUUUUUUACAUACACAAAGUGAUGAGCUGGGAGGCCUAUUGAACAUUAAAAAACAUACAUGAGUCUCAGAAUAAAGAUUCUAAACUCUAACUAAUUAUACGAUUGUCUUUUUAACAUAUUAGUGUUCAUAAGAUGUUAUUUAUUCUUAAUUAAGAUUCAACAAGGAGGGUUUUACUGCAUUAAGCACUCAAAUAUAAUAACUAACCAAAGAGUUGUUUAGAGAGGCAUUCUCUGAAAGUUCCUCUCGUGCAACCAAAUAUUACACCUCCAAGCUGACUUUUUCUCAAAUUUCUAGCUGAUGCAGCAUAAGACGCCUUCGAUGCAAACGAAGGUGAAGCUUCAUUCAGUACAAAUGUCUGUGUUUUCUUCCCACCUCCCAUUUCUUCAAAGAGAGAGAGAUGUAAAAUAAAAAUAGUGAACCGGAUACAGCUUGAAUCUAGAGUAAAGACUUCAAAUUGCAAUAACAUUAAUUAUCUGAACACAACAAAAUGUGUAAUGAAGAAAUGAACAUUGAGAAAUGGAAAAAAUGUCUUCUGAAGCCAAAGGGGUGAAGAUCAUUAUGUAAAACAUUAAAUACUAAGGAGAUUUGGGAAAGAGUAACGUAAUUUGAUCAUCAUUUGUUGAUGCGUAAUAAAUGCUACAACAAAAAUUCAAAUCCAUUCACAAAUAAAAAAGAUGAAAAAACUGGAAAUAAGAAAUCAUCCAAACACGUAUACGUAGAGUGCUGAAUAACAAAUCUGACUUUCAAAUUCUAGAACUUCAGUUAUUAAGACUCUUUUGUACUACUUCUCAUUAAAAUAACAUUAUAUAUUGCACAAAAUCUUGACAAUAAGAAAAAGAAAGGGAAGUGUUACAGUUUAUCAUACUCAAAAUGAAACCAAACCAGAAUAUCCUUCACUCUAAACAUUGUUAAGGGAAAAUCUAAAUUUCAAAUCAAUCAUAAAUAGACUGUAAAGGAUACUGCUUGUAUAUAUUCGAAAAUUCAUUUUCAUCAUUCACUUGAAUUUGCAACUUUUAUAAAUUGAAAAGAUCUUAACCCUUGACAAAACUUUCCAUGAUUCUAUUUCCUAACUUUAAAAGGCGAUUAUUAACAAACAUUAAGAAAAGGCUUGAGCCUUAUCACUUAUCACUAAGAGAUUUACUUCCUAACUAUCUACCUGUAAACACUAAGCUCAGAACAACAAGUAUGCAGUUACCAUGAUUAGAAACCCCCCCCCCCAACCCUAAGAAAUUUGUAACCAUUAACAAAGCUUUCCCUGAUUUCUCUUCCUAUAACUUCAAAAGCCAUCGACUAACAAAUAUCAAGAAAGGGCUUAAACAGAACCAGCCUUCCCUGUUAUCUCACUAAGAGUUUUACUUCAAAACUAUCAACCAAUACCAGAAAAACGAAAAAUCAUGCCCCCAAACAACAAAUAAGCAAUCAUCCAUGAUUACGCCCGCCAUCCUAACAAAUUUGUGCGUAACAAUCAUCAUAAUCCUUCCCAAGCAAAAAAAGAAAGGAAUUUCCCAUCCACAUUGAACCUCCUAGGCCAUAGAUAUAACAAUGUGAACGUCCACAAAGCGAAAACUCAAACCUCAAUGGGUAAAUUCGACUGUCACUUCAAAGAAACUGAUAAGAACCAAAACCCAGAAGUGCAACAAUCGUACUAAAAAUUCUCUCUGAUGAAAUUCAAAAUGCAUUCAAUAAAAAUCGAAUAAAGCAUUUUUUUUUCUACAACGGCAAAUAAAAUGGAAGUAAAACAUGAUCCGAUUACACGAUCCACACCAAAAUGAAAAUAAUAAUAAUAAUAAUAACUAAAAAGAAAAGGAAAUAACUCCAAACCCACAUAGCAAAAUAACCCAACUCGACAUUCAAUCAAUCCACAUUCUUAAAUCAAAUAAAUGAAAUAACAAAAAACCAUUUUUCCCAGCAUACACAUUUAUGUGCUUAUGAAAUUAAAUACAUGAUUGUGUUAUGCAAAUUUCCUGGGCAAAGAACCUGUAUAUAAAGUGUAGGUAGAAGACUGAGACACUCCCAGUGAAAGACAAAGCGCGAAAUAAUCUCUUGCUUUUAAUAAUGUAAGUUUGAUGGACAGAGCACCCAGGGCGCAGGUUAGCAUCUGCACCUACAAGGUACCUUCAUUAUUUGUGUUUUUCCCAUAUAAAAAUUAGGAUAAUACUACAUGUACACAAUCUUUUACACACUACUCACAACAUAAAGUGAGGAUCACAGCUCGAAUUAUUUAAUAACAGGUGGGACCCACAUGUUUGUGAGGAGGUGUAAAUCAUUUGGUAACCCCCUCAUGUGUACAUAUAUCUUUAUCCUAAAAAUUAAGAAAAGAGGUUUCAUUUUAUUGGGGAAAAUUGUGGCAGAGCCUUCAAACUUUUAAAAUAUUAGCAGUCUUUUUUCAAACUUUUAAUUUGUUACAACCGUCAUCCCAAACCUUUCAAAAUAUUGCAACAGAGGCCCUUUUUAACUAUUUUCAUCCAAAUGUCUAUUAGUUAACAAAAAAAUUUGAUUUUAACCAUAUUUUUAAUAUUUUUAAAGGGUAAAAUAGUAACUUUUCAUUUAUUACAUUAAAAUAAGUUAGAAAUUAGAAAAUAAAAACCAAUAGUCUUUAUCCUCCCACGCCACCCCACCCCCAACCCAAAAUCACUUCCCGACCACCUCCACCUCCACCUCCACCUCCAUUCCCAGCCAUAAAGACUCAAAUCAUAAUGUACCCACAGAAAUAAGUUUGGAAGGGAAGAAUGAGGAUUAUAGAGAAAUUGAGGUUUUAUGGGUGGUUGCCUCUCUCCAAAGUCGAUAAUUUUUAGUCAACUAACAGAUGUUUAGAUGAAAAUCAUCAAAAAUGGCCUCUGCCACAAUGUUUCGAAAGAUUUGGGGUGACGGUUGCAACAAAUUAAAGGUUUUAGAAAAGGCUGCUAACGUUUUAAAAGUUUAAAGUCUCUGCUGCAAUUUUUCCUUUCAUUUAAACACGUUUUUAUGUGAAAACCCUCCAAUUGAGGAAAAAAAGAAACACACAUUUUCUCCUUCGAUUUACGCCUUGAAUAGUUAAAAUUCACCCUCCAAUUGAGGAAAAAAAGAAACACACAUUUUCUCCUUCGAUUUACGCCUUGAAUAGUUAAAAUUUUCUUAAAAGAAUGACUUAAGGGAUUUAGAGCACUUCGAUACUGGCUUUAUCCAUGAUAAAAUAUCACGAGUUCAAAUUUUUUUUAAGAAAAAUAUUUGACUAUAUUUUGCUCAUAAAUACAUGCCACCUACAAAUUUCAUCUAUUAAUAAUUUUUCGCUUUUUUAUUAUGAUGGUUUGAGUAUUAAUAAAUUUUCAUUAUAUUGAGAUUCUUUUAAUAAAGGAAAAGGUCAAUGACAUUUAAAUUCAUUUUUUCUUAUUAAUUGAAGAUUUUAAAGACUAUUUUUUUUUUCUCCAGAUUGCAGAAAAAUUUUCAUUGUUCAUUUUUUAAGUGGAAUUGAAUGAUUAAAUGUUUAUAACAAUAUAUCCUCACAUUCUUUCGUGAAGAUUUUAAUUAAUUACAAGAGUUUUAUGUACACAAAUUCAAUUCAAUAAAGUGGAUAAAUCAUGUCCGUUAACUCCCUAGUAUAUACAAAUGUUCUAGAUAUGUUUUGUGCGUUGUAUAAUACGAUAAAAGAAUAUAUACUUUACAUUUUUAUAUUUUAUUUUAGAAAUAAUAUAUUUUAUUGUUACAUACAAAAACUUAAACCUAUGUAUGGUCUAUAGAAGCAAAUUAGAACUUUCAAUAAGAAAUUUUCAUUCGCGAAGUGUCUAAAAAUAACUUUGCAGAGUAAAUACAAAAUAUAAACAUCUUAAAUAAAGAAUUAAAUUAAACAAAAUAAAAUAAUUUUAAAGCAUAUGCACGAAUAAAUUAUUACUCGCAUUUAUACAACACUUAGGCAAUGUUUGAUAGCUAUUGGAAUUCCAUGAAAAAUGGAAUUUCAAUUCCAUCUUUUACCUUUCAUUGUUUGAUAGCAUUUAUUUUCUCUAAAAUUCAUUUUCUUACUUUGUUACCACCUCAAUCAAAUUCCAGCUUUUUGAUAAAUUUGAAUUCUCACCAAAAUGGUGAGAAUCCAUUUUUCCGGUUAUAGGAGCUUUUUUUUUCCUUUUUAUUUUUAUUUUUUUCAACGGAAACAAAUUCUAAGAAUUAUUGUAAAAAAAUAUUUCCCUUUAAUUGACAAUUUUCAUGUAAAACAAAGUUAAACAAACACCAAAAGAUAAAUAUUUUCUUGAUUUUUUUUUUGCAGUGGAAACAAAUUAUAUCCCCAAUACCAGUAAAUUUUUUGAACAUAUGAGGUACUCUAUCAAUUUUGACAAUUCUCUCUCUCUCUCUCUCUCUCUCUCUCUCUCUAUAUAUAUAUAUAUAUGUUUUUUGUUUUUUUAUCUCUUUAAUUGACAAUUUUCAUGUAAAACAAAGUCAAACGAACACCAAAAAUACUUUUAUUUCAACAUUUUUCACAUGAAGAAUUAUACCAACAAACACAAUAAAUUGACAAUUCCCAGAAAAAUAAUUUUUAGACAAUUCAAUUUCAUAAAAUUCGUCUUCUUUCCACCCAAAUUCCAUCUUUGCAGUCAAAUUGAUCCUUAAUUUUGAAUUACCUUCCUUUUUCCAUUUCUCAUUCUACAUACAACGGGCUCAUGAUUAAAGAAUUAAGGGGUCAUUGAAAAAUGACUUUCAUCUUUAACAAGAACUUAUCGAGUGAAUUUAGAUUAAUUGGUUAUUUAACUAUAACCGAGCAUUUAGAAAGGAUGUUUUAUUUCAAUAGAAUUUUUUUUUUUUUUAAAGGAAUUUGAACCAUUCAUGUCAUGAACAAAUGUAAUAUGAUUUUAUAUACGUAAUAAUAUUGUUAGAUUUCAAUAAAUAUUAAAGAGAGGGGCAUUUCUUCCCCACGAUGGCGACAAUUGCAAGGUUAACGAUAGAGUGGUUGUGGUAGUGGUGGUGGCGAUAGCAAUGGUAAUUGCACGAUGAUAGUUUAAUUAAGUGACGGUAGGAUUAGAGUGGUGAUGGAUAUGGGUGGAGGGUAGCUAGUGAUGGCUCGGCUCGGGCUCGUGGCUCUUGAAAAACGAGCCGAGCUAGGCUCGCACGAACCCCUCACGAGCUCAUGUUUUUUUUAAAAAAAUUUUUAUUUGCACAUUUUUUGCACAUUUUUUUUUUAAUUUUUUCAUAUUUUUGCACAAGCUCGACUCGUUGGCUUGUGCCCAUGAGCGGCUCGACGAACCGAGCAGGCUUAGCUGGUGGGAUCGAGCCCCCUGCUUUGCUCUAGCUCGAGCUCGUCAUUUGACGAGCCCAAGCCGACCACGAGCCGAGUUUUAAUGAGCUAACAAGCCGCUCGACUCGUUUGACAUCAAAUGAUGAGCCUGAGCCGCCCAUGAGCCGACGAGCCGCUCAGCCUGUUUGACAUCGAUAAGGGUAGCCGAAGGACAUAUUAUGUAUUUUCUUUUUAUUUAUUUGUUUUAUUCUUUCUCUUUUUAAAUUAUUUUGAAUGAUAUAACUAGGGAUGUAAACGAGCCGAGCCGGCUCAUGAACUGAAAUUUUCGGCUCGGGCUCGGCUCGAGUAAAUCGUAACGGGCUUUUUUUGGGCCCGAGCUGGCUCGGCCAAAAAAAAUAAGGCUCCGAGCUCGGGCUUUUUAUGAGCCGAGUCGGCUCGGUUUUUUAUUUAUUUAUUUUUUUUGCAAUUUUUAAUGACAUUUUUUUCACAUGCUAAUUGUUGUGGUGCAAAUUGUUGAAUGACAUUUUUUUGAAGAAUUUAAAAAUUGCAUCAUUUAUUAUUUAUACAAAUUACAAAUUAAAUAAAAGUACAACUUUCAAAAUUAUGUAAUUUAUACGAAUAACAAAAUAAAUAAAAGUUACAAAUUACAACCCUCCUCCUUUUUCCGGGCUUGGGACCGGCUGCAAUCAACAUAGGCAGAGUUAAAAUUGUACACGAAUAAAAUAUUUCGUGUACAAUUUUUUUGAAUCAAAUAAAUUUAAAAAAUACAUUUCUUAAAGAAAAAUAAUUAAUUUAAAAACUUACAACAUCUUAUGUUUGGAUAUGCUGCAACUCUUCGGUCAUUAUACUAUCAACAUGUUCUUGAACACGUAAUUCUGCACAUUCCCAAUCCUUCAAACAUAUCAAAACCUCCAAUAUAUCUUCUUUUAGUCUUGAUCGUUCAUCUGAUAAAAUUCGACCACCUAAACUGAAUGCAGCCUCCGAUGCUACCGUAGACACCGGAGGUGUUAGUAGAUCACGUGCAAUUUUUGAUACAAUUAGAUAUUGUCUUUCGUUACAUCUCCACUAAUUUAAAAGACUAAAUUCUUGUAAUUCGUGCCGUUGCAACACACUACGAACAUCUACGCACAUAUACCUAGCUAAUUCAGAAGGAAUUUCAAGAUUUGUACCACCAAUAUUGAUUGCUCUAGAUGUUGAUGAGUUAGAACUAGAACUAAAUGAAGGAGCACUUGUAUUGCUAUCUAAAUAAUUCCAUAAAUUUUCGGGAUUUGUUGAAAUAUUUCUUGAAAAAGAACUUUGGGAAGUAGAACUACGCUGACCUUCCUUUUCAGCAUAAUAAUUAUACAUUUCACAUAAAAAAAGAUUCUAUAUGCACGUGUGAUAAUUCUAUAUUCAAAAAAUCUGAUAUCCCCUUUACAGUAGUUUUUGUGUCAGUUAAAUUAAGUCGAGGGUCCAUUACUGAAGCUAAAAUAAAUAAAGAAGGCAACUCUUCCCAGUAUUUAUAAAAUUUUAACUCCAUACAGCGAACUACAUCAGCAAAAAAGUGGCAAAUUCCUAUAUUUAUGAAAUGCUUGUGAAAUAUAGAAAAAAUGUUGUAAAACAAGAGAAGAUGUAGGGUAAUAAACACCGCUACAUUCCUUUGUAGUAUCGAAAAAAGGUUGUAAGAAUUUUUUCACGUAAAAUGCAAUAGUCCAUUCCCAAUCUUCCAAAUUAUGUUCGGGUCCGAGUGUAUGCCUACCAUUAUAAUAUGGUGAAAUCACUUUAUCGUAAUUUUCACACCAAUGUAACAUAAGAUAUGUAGAGUUCCACCCGUGUGUUACAUCAGUGGCAAAUGAUUUCUCCUGUAAUCCAUACUCUGCACACAAACUAUUAAAUGCUUGUUUUCUUGCUGGUGACACAAUAAUAAAAUUUAUUGCUUGUCUAAUUUUAUCUAAAGGUGAACUUAUAUGUUCUAAUCCAACUUUUACAAUCAAAUUAAUAAUAUGACAUACGCAACGUUGAUAAAAAUAAAUUUUCAAAUACGGGAUUAAGAUCAGCAAUAAAUCUUUCAAUAACAACUUUGUUUACUGCAACAUUAUCAAAAGUAAAAUUUCGAACCAUAUCUUGUAUAUCAGAUUCCUGUAUGAUAUCUUUUAAAACCAUGUAUAUAUUAGUGGCAUUAUGGGAAAAUUCUACACAUCUGAAUGCAGUAAUUCUUUUAUGUAGAAGCCACAGGUGAUCAAUAUAAUGAGCCGCAGCAGCAAUAUAACCUUUUCUAUUACAACCAGUCCAUAAAUCAGAAGUAAACGAUACAACACUAUUAAAACUUUUUAGACCUUCAAUAGUAAUUUGUUUUCUUCUGUUAUAUAAUUUUAUGCUAUCCGAACGAAGAGUAUUUCUAGAAUAAGAAGAAUACCUCGGUUGGAGAUAUUUCUGCACGAGUCGGGUAAAGUGUAUUGAGUCUAUCAUCGUAAGCGGCAUCUCUGCUGCAGCCACGUAUGCAGCCAUUCCUUCACGAAAUCUUUCCUGUGAAUAUACAAAGGUGGAAAGAGUAGAAUUAGAACCGCCAAACACUAGUUCGAUUUGUUUCGAGUUGAGAUCGACUGGUUUUGCUUUGCAACUCCUCAAUACGUAUCUAUUCAAAUGCGUUGUGCUCGAGCCAGGCUUCCAACUAAGUUCUUUGCCACAAUAAUUGCAACAUACUUUCAAAAUAUCUACUCCAUUUCGAACACCAAUUUUUUUUCGUGUCAUAUGUUGCCAACAGUCCGAUGAUUCUUUUUUUGACCUUUUUGUCUCGAGUACUUGAACUUCUUCCUCUUCAAUAUCCUCCAAAUUAAUUGAAACAUUUUCACAUGCAUCGUAGUUAGAUGGAGUACUCGAACUACCCCAAACUGAUUAACUUCAUCACUUGUAAAAUCCAUAAUAACUAGUAUAAUAAAAAAUACUGAAUAUUAGACUGUAAAGUGAAAGAAAUUGAAUAUAUUAAUUGUUAUAUGAGAAGUGAGAAAGAAGAAAUUGAAACUUGAAUCUGAAUCUAUGAUAUAGAAAUAAUGCGAAUUAAAAUCGAUAGCAAAGUGAUUUAAAACUUCAAAAAUCAUCUCGUAUUUAUAGAUAAAAAAACCCGCAUUAUUUUUCAAAUUUGAAUUUAAAAAAGAUAACAGUGUAGUGUACCAAUACGAAAAAAAGGCAGCUAUAGGCAGCAGGUCACAGCUGCUACAGGGCAGCAGGGCUGCUGCCGUGCAGCAGUUAAAAUAUUUAAAAAAAAAUUUUUUUCUUUAAUUUGCUUGGGCCGAGCAUUUUUGUCACGGGCCAUUUUUGGCCCGUGACAGGCGAGCCACACGGGUUUGCUCGGGCUUGAUCCCUACGAGCCACGUGCCGGGCGGGCUCGAAUUUUUCCCGAGCCGAGCCACGAGCCGCUCGAGCCACCGAGCCUUUUUGACACCCCUAUAUAUAACUAUGGAUCCUUUCUUUAAAAUUUAAAUUGAUCAAAUUUUGGUCAAUGGAUGACUCAUAGGUCAACUAUCGGUAUUGAUGGAAAUCAUUCAUGGGACCUCGUGCCACAUGUUAAUUGAAGAUUUGGUAAUAUACUAAUAAAAAUGAAAGGUUUGAAACGAUUGAUGCAAUUUAUGGUCAGCAUCAUGCACCGCCGUUUGGAAGCGUCGGACUUAGUGCCAUUAGUGUCAAUUUCCUAGUUUGUAAGAGUCCUUUUUUGUCAACUUUGCUUAUUAAGGUUUGCGAGAAAUUCAUACAAAUAGCACAAUAUGUGAAUAGAAUAAUUCUACUCCUACAAAGUUUGAGUAUAAAAGUGAAGUGUAAAAGUGUGUUGGCAAAAUCUGAACCCUUGAUUUCAAAUAAUUUAAAAAUCCGUUUUUGAAAUUAUUGGUAUAGAUUUAAAUUUGUAACGUAACUUUGUAAAAUCCCUUUGUCGUCGUAGCAUAACUCAUAUGAAUAUAUACAAUGGCAUAACUUUCAUCCUCACGAUAGAGGAAUUGGUUCUAAAGGGUAAAGGACUAAUAUUAAUUGUCAAUGACAUUUGUUGACCUUAAAUUCCAUAACAAUUUCUUAGGGCAAUCCUUGUGGAUUGGUCCGGGGUGUUCCACUCCCGCUUUUGACCUCUGUCAACGGUAUUCAAUCCUUCCUCUCUUCUUAGUUUUCACGCAAAAACAGAGGUUGGAAUUGCCCCAGUUCCUUCCAAUUAUGUGAAAUGGGGUGUGUCCUCACUAAAAAAGUGCAAGUGGGUUGGCGAAGAGACGCGGCUCGACAAGGAAGGAAUGGAAAAUAGUCAAGAUGCAAUAGCAGUUGGUAAGUGAGAACCACCAUCGAAAAGAGUGUCACCAGGUACAAAGACCAAAAGAUAUCUCAACAAUACAAGUCUUUGUUUGACUACCAUUAAAAUUUUAAUACAUUUUUCUUUCUUCUUUUCAAUCAUAAAUUCUCCAAUAAAAUGAUAAUACUUGUAAACCAAAAUUUUUCCUUUAUUUAAUUACACAUUCUCCAAAAAAUUAUUAUUUCAAAAUACAUUAUUUCUAAAUUCUCAUUAUAGUGGGGGCCAAACAAGGCCAAAAGUGUUGUUCAAUCCUAUUCUCAAAGUCCAGGAUAACUGGAUAAGGGAUGUUGAGUGGGUCCGAAGAAGACAUCAUUUUUAGGAUUAUUCUUCUUAGAUAGGGCCAAUGUGGCCCUGUCCAUUCUGGGGGCAAUGUAGCGUCCCCCCUAUUGGCCAGGUUGUCCAUAUAGCAAAGUUAUCAUUUUGAUAGUACGAAGAACAAGUUUGAUGUGAUAGGCCAAUUGCUAGCACUUAUUCUCCUGAUUUUGUACAAACAUUCAAAAAGAGUAAUAAAACAAGUACCUUAUUCAAAAAGUACUAGAAUGCAAGCAUUGGCAAGAAAACGUACUACUUUAUUCAAAAUUCAUCUAAAAAUUUUGACUUAAAAAGAAAGAUAUAUUUUGACAACAAAAUAAAUAUCCCUAAGACAUUUUGUAUUCUUGUUUAUUUCGUGUACACUACGUUUUUAAUGAGGCUAUUGUUUUAGGAUUCAACAACCUCAAAACAAAUGAAAAAAUUACACUAACACCUUUCACAAAAUCUAACAUAUACAACACAAUUUAACUAGUAAAAGAUUUGCCUCUUACAGGGUUUUGCUCCCAGGCAAUCCUCAGUUCAGAAAAGAAUAAAAAAAUGAGUCAUCUUUAGGUUCCUCCUUGGCCAUGGAGAGGGCAUUGUCUGUCUGUUGCAUUUGAUCAAUAUAUGGACCGAUCGAGUCUCCAAAACCUGAGUAGGCAAAAUCACCCGUGUCCUGCAAUAUCUGAAGGGUAUACGAAGCAUGGUUCUGUGAUCCUGAUACCCUGUUUUUCUGAAUAGAAUUGGGGAGAUUUGUCAUCAUACCGGUAGAUGGCCUAAUAGCCAUAGGCUGGUUCGUGUUAAUAUGUGGUCUGUUCAUAGUAUAACUGCCACUGCCGCGUGCUGCAAGAACAUCAUGGUUGUGUUUUCCUUCGUACGUGGUAAUCACCGCCCUCAAAUCAUGAUAUGCUCGCUCUACGUGCUUCCUAAGCGGAUAACCAUUGUAUGUACAUUUGUAGUAGCUCCUGCAGGAAUUGAUGAAUUGAUGUCAUUAAGGUUUCUAACUUCAUUAAGGAAAGAAAGAGACAAAACAUUGAGGUACUAAUCAUGUUUACCUACGAUUCGGAUUGCCCUUAACAACUUUCUGUCUGUAUUUCCUCCAUCUGUAACCAUCAUCAAGGAUAUCAAUAUCACUUGUGGUUUGAACGACGAUUCUAGGUUCUUGAACCGUUUUGCUGCCCGAAGCAGAUAUGCUUUCAUUCUCACUUUUUCCCUUCCUGAAAAACACAAUGAAAUUUAAUACUGUAAGGUAUUCUCAUAUCAUGUAAUUAUUGGAACUAUCAAGUGAUAAACUUACCAUCUCUUGGCUUCGGGUUCAUUUUCUUCAUCUCUCGAGUUACUCAUUGGUGAGCCUUGUUCGAAAUCAUCAUCACCGAAAGAAGCUGACGAAUUCUCUGGGGUUGUGAUAGGUUCCCCUAUAGCAUCUUCGAGCAAUGAGUUUGACUGAUUUAAAAUUCCCAUAUAACAGUAUGUAUGAUUCUGAAUUGAAUUCGAAGAUGAUCUUCGAGUGGAUUGAGGCUUGGGGUGACUAUGACUUCCUUUAUACACUAUUUCAGUAAUAUGACCAUCCAAAUUUUGACCUUUCUCUUAGUCGGACAGCUUGGAAAUGUAAACUUGUAAUAACUACGAGGAUUUUCGUUUCCUUUGACUUGUUUCUGGUUGUAUUUCCUCCAGUUGUAUCCAUCGUCCGAUUUCUUCUGCUCCCUUGUAUACUGAGUAGGUUGAGCAUAGUGAGUUUGAGCCAAAUUGCCCCCAUAUUUGAUUGAAUAGUAGAAACUGUUAAACAAUCCAAAGAAAAUAAAAAAGAAAAAGGAGGAGGUUAGGGAUUCAUUGAUACUACAUAAUUAAUUGAAUGCUAAAAGAUAGUUUAACCUAAAUACAAAGAAAAUAUAUAUAAGCUAAACAAAGGAAACUAAAAAAAGACUAUUCUACCCUUAAUAAAUAAUAAAUAAUCCUAUAUUUCUUAACAGAAACAUCGUGAGAGAAUUUUGCGUCUGAAAAUUCAAUUUGCUUGUUUAGAGUAUUGAAUGCCUCAUUUUCUUGAUUCCUUCUUAACAAAUCCUCAUGUUGAAGUAUAAUCGUCAGCACCAAAACAAUCAAUAUAAAGAAGAAUGACCACAAUAAUAAACUAAUCAUUCUUUUUCUUUCUUUUUUUUUUUUUUUUUUAAUUUGAGGUCGACUACACUAAUCCCCUUUUGCCUCCUUAUUCGGUUCAUUAAUUACGAGAUAAAUGACAGAAUCAAAUAAAUAUUAAGGACAAACGAACCACAUAAAUUACACAUCUGGAUUACAUUUGAACUGUAAUAUGACCAUAAUCAUUCUUUCAACAUGUUGAAUUACAGGGUUUUCUUUAAUAAUCUUGAAAAUCAUAAUGCAUGAGAAUAAUUCUUCGAAGAAUCAUAUAAUUAUGCAAUAUUUGAUACAUAUUUUAUAUUAAGUUGUUUCGAUCCAAAUAAACUAUAAGAAAACUAGGAUUCUAAGCAUGAAACUGAUUUUAAAACUGUAUAGCAAAUACAAAGUAAUGAAAAUAAAAACGGAGAGUUGUGCUGAAUGUCGGGAUCAUACCGAUUGAUUUCUUCCUGCAGAAAACGAAAAAAAAAGAUGAAGAACUUGAAGGCCUAUUUUGAGAUUGAAAAGUGAAAUCAGAAUACUUUCUAUCCUCAUCUUUAGAUAGCGAACCAGUAAAACUUCCUGUAGUGGGAGAUGGAAGAACCUGCACAAGCAUAUCAAACUUUUCACUAGUCCUAUUUCCAGUAAACUCAAUAUCUAUUAGAUGAAUCCUUUUACACUGUUGAAACAACAAGCUUACGUCCCUUUUUUCUAAAUAAAUUUAGGUGGACUAGCUUCUAUACCUAGACCCCAUUGCUUACUUUGAUACUUUCGAACAUUUCUGUGUCGGAAAAGACACACAAAUAAAAAACUACAAACUAUACUAAAUAAAUUUGAGUUCUGACUACAUGAAUUCUUUCCAUCAUCUUCAAAUAGCUUCUAUACCAAGAAGGACCAUGCUAGGGUGCCAGAAGAGAAUUGACAUCCUAGCUGACAGAUCCUCACAAUCAGGGUGGGUGGGGUGGAAUUUGUUGGUAUUAAUAGUCCCAAUAAUCCAAGAAAAACACAGAAAAAUAAAAGAACACAAGAAUUUUUUGCCAAUAGGCCCGGAUGUUCACCAAAAAAUGGGUUACGUCAUCACGUUGAGCUUCCACCAAAGUGAUUAACGCUCUAAUCCACUAGAAACCAGCAAUAGAAUAUCAAUACAAGGUUUAUAAACUACAGAUCUAAAAAGAUCAGCCCUCAAACCCUAUUUUUUCCCUCACAAAUCGAACAAACAGAUUACACCAAGUAAUCGAACCUCACUGUUCAACCAAGAACAGAUAUAAUCUCUACACCAAGUACACGAACUAUAUCUCACCAAGAACAUCUAAUGAUUCAGAGAUUACAAACAAAAAAAAAAUAAAAAAUCCAGAGGUUUUUUGAGAGAGAACAUUACAGAAAGCAAAACGAAAGAUAACCCUAGAAAUCUCUGGCAUAAUGGUAAUUGAAAAGUCUAGGGCUAAGUAUAAUUAAAGGUCACUUGCAUCCAACGGUUCAGCCGACUACACUUGGCACCAACUGAUCCAUCCAGUUAAAACAAAUUAAGGUCGCAUUUGGAGGAAACACGAGUCAACACAAGUGGGGGCAAACCAGGUCACAAACAAACUUGGGGUCAACUGUUGGGUUCCAUCAUUGAGCCUGAAGGUGUUAAGCGUUAUUCUUAACAAUCUCCACCUUGCUUGACACUUUUGGAUUUCAUUGUGGACUAGAGGUUAACUCCUCCUUUGAUAUCAUAUGCUCUGUGUACCUGCAAAAGAAAUUUCAGUUAGAAAUAACAUUUAGGAGAUUUAAACAAUCCCUAAAUUCAUGUACAGAAAGUAUUUUUGUACCCAUAUCUGCUGGAUUACACAUAGUGGAAAUCUUUUCAAUUUUCAUGAUAUCCUUUUCUAUAAUGUCUCUUAUAAAAUGAAAUUUGACAUCUAUGUGUUUUGUUCUAUCAUGAAAAACAGAUUUCUACUAAGAUGUAUGGCAUAUUGUCUUUCAGAAUGUAUUAAAGCAUCAUUACCAGUAAAGCCAAUUUCAUCCAACAAAAUUUUCAACCAAAUACCUUCCUUAAUAGCAUCUGUGGCUGCAAUUUAUUCAGCAUUUGUAGAAGACAAAGCUACUAUCCUUUGCAGCUGUGAUUUUCAGCUUAUACAUGUAUCAUUUAAAGUAAAGACAUAUGCAGAUGUUGAUUUUCUAUUAUCACAAUUACCAGCAAAAUCAGAAUCUAUAAAUCCUUUUAGUUUAAUCCCAGUUUUCCUUUUCUAAACAUUAGUCCUAAGUUUGAAGUUCCCUUCAGAUAUCUAAGUAGCCAUUUCAUGCCUUCCCAGUGUUGUUAACAAGGAUUACUCAUAUAUCUACUCAAUACACUUAUAGCAAAAGCAAGAUCAGCCCUUGUACAAACCAUAAUGUACAUUACUGAACCUACAGCAUUUGCAUAAGGGAUUUUAUCCAUCCUAUUUCUUUCUAUCUCAGUUUUAGGACACUGUUCAGUAGAGAAUUUAAACUGACUGCCAAGUGGUGAGGUAACUUCUUUUGCCUUAUCCAUGCAAAUUUACAUAGAAUUUUGAAAAUACAUGACUCUUAAGUUAGAAAUAGUGUGAAGUCACUUCUAUUUCUCCUAAUUUCCAUUCCUAAAAUUCUUUUAGUUGAUCCUAGGACUUUCAUUUCAAACUCUUGUUUUAACUUUUGUUUAAUAUUAUUUAUUUCAGUUACAUCACACUCAGCAAAUAGCAUAUCAUCAACAUAAAGCAAACGAUAAUAGGAAUCAGGACCUCCACCACCUUUAUAAUAGAAGCAAGGAUCAUAUUCACUCCUAUUAAAGUCAAGACCUUUUAUAAAAGCACCAAAUUUGAUAUACCACUGUCUAGGGGCCUGUUUUAGCCCAUAGAGUGAUUUUUGUAGAAGGCACACAUAGUUUUCCUUUCCCUUUUGUUCAAAACCUUUAGGUUGAGUCAUAUAAAUUUUUUCUUCUAAGUUACCAUGUAAAAAUGCAGUUUUUACAUCUAACUGUUUCAGUUCAAAAUCAAAUUGUGAAACAAUGCAAAGAAGAAUUCUUAUAGAAAUAUAUUUGACUACAGGUGAGAAGAGUUCAUUAUAGUCAAUUCCUUCUCUUUGGUUAAAGCCCUUUGCAACUAGUCUGGCCUUAAAUUUGACAUUUCCCUCUUUCGAGUCACCUUCUUUAAUUUUGUAAAUCCACUUACAGUCAGUAACCUUUCCCCCUUUUGGUUUAUUAACUAAGACCCAAGUCUUAUUUUUGUAAAGCAAAAGCAUUUCAUCUUUCAUAGCUGUAAGCCAAGAAUUUGAAUUUUUUUCCCCAAUGGCCUCUUCAUAGGAAUUAGGUUCAUUGUCUAAAAAAUUCUGAAUAUUUAGGACAUUGACAAAAUCUAAUUCAUUAUAUCUCGCAGGUGGUCUUAUCUCCCUCCUUCAUCUAUCUCUGGCGAGUUGAUAGUCUUCUAAGGGGUUUAUCGGUGGAACAAGUUUCAGGCUCAAUCUCAUGUUCACACUCAGGUUCAGGGGCUAUUACUUGUUCAUGAGUAGGCUCCACCUCAAUCUGGUCAUUAGUUUCAAGAUCUAAUAUGGGUGAAGAGAUUUCAGAUUUCAGAUAUGAAUCAUUUUCACUUAUUUGAGGGGCUACAGGUGUUUUUUCUUUAGUACAGGGCAUGUCCAUUUCAUUAAAGAUUACAUUUCUGUUGAUUAUGACUGUUACCUCCCUGAUCCUUAACCCAGAUUCUGUAACCUUUUACAUCCUCACCAUAUCCUAAGAAAAUGCCUUUAAUAGAUAUAGGUUCAAGUUUACCCUCAUUUUGGUGUACAUAAGCUGCACAACCAAAAACUUUCAGUUUGGAGUAAUCAACAAGGUGACCACUCUAAACAUGAUCAGAAGUGUCAUAAUUCAAGGAUUUUGUGGGGGCAUUUGUUUAUCAAAUAUGAUGCAAUUUUAACAGCUUUCCCCCAGAACAAUUUUGUAAGUCUUGCACUAAUUAACAUGCAUCUAACAGGGUCCUAUUUAUCCUUUCUGCUAGACCAUUCUGUUGUGGGGGUAUAGGUGACAGUCCUGUGCCUUAAAAUUUCAUUAUUAUUACAAAAAUUAUCAAAUUACUCAUUACAGAAUUCAGACCAUUGUCAGUUUUAAGAGCUUUAACCUUUUUGUUUACCUGGUUUUCAAUUAAUGUUUUCCAUGUUAUGAAGUUUUGAAAAGUAUUUGAUUUAUUUUUCAAAAGGGUAACCUAGAUCUUUUUUGAAAAAUCAUCAACAAUCAAUAAGAAAUAUUUGAAACCAGAAUAGGUAUUCACAGUAGCUGGUCCCCACAGAUCAGCAUGCAAAUAUUCAAGAAUAGACUUAGAUUUAUGGACACCUGUACCAAAUGACAGCUUUCUUUGUUUUCCAUAAAUGCAGUGUUCACAGAAGGACGCCCUUUCGAUUUUUUCAUUUCCUAAAGGCCUUGCUUUUUAAGAAUGUAUAAAUUCUUACCCCUCACAUGUCCUAACCUUUUGUGCCAAAUUUCAGAUUUUUCAGGCUGAGUAACUGCUGCUAAAAUAGGUUGGUUUAUCAUUGGCAAAGUUUUUAAAACAUAGAUCCCAUUAGAUUUUUCAACACAAGUAAUCUCUGUCAAGUUCUUUUGCAAUUUCAAAAUGCCUUUGUUUAUAGCUGUAUCAAAACCUUCAUCAUCUAGUACACCUAAAGAGAUCAGAUUUCUCUUUAGUUUGGGAAUGUAUCUGAUCUUGUUUAGAGUCAAUACAUUUCCAUUUUCUAGUUUUAAAUCAACUUUGUCAAUUCCUUUAAUUUUACAAGUAAAAUCAUUUCCCAAUAUUACUUGACCCUCAUUAAUUUCAGAAAAAUCAGUAAAGUAUUCCUUAUAAGGUGUCAUGUGAAAUGUAAACCCAGAAUCAAGGAUCCAUUCAUCCUUGACUAAAGAUUGACUAGCCACACAGAAUUGUCCAUUUGAGCCUGCAGCUUCUUCAUAAGCAAUAACAGCUCCACUUUCAAUUUUAUUGAUGUUUUUUAGUUUAUCAAUCCUUUUAAUACAGUCUUUUAUGAAGUGACCCAUCUUUCCACAAAAGUAGCAUUUCUUUCCUUUAGCCUUAUUAUUAUUAUGAUUUAAUCUGGUCUUACCUUUAUGAAAAUUUCCAUUGUACUCUUUUGGCUUUCCAAGGUUUUUAUUUGAAAAAUUAUUGUUGUUUCUUUUGAAUUGAUUAUUUUCUCUGACAUUAUAACCAAAACCAACAGAGAAGGUUUUAGAUUCACUUUGAAACUUAAGUUCUUUAUUUCUUAAAGAAGCAACAAUAACAUCUAUGGUAAUGGAAGUUCUUCCAUAUUCAAGAGCAUUUCUUAAGUCUUUAUAUUUUUCAGGUAAGGCAAAUAAUAAGGCUACAGCCUGUUGUUCACCAGAGAGUGUUUCACUAUUAUUUGUGAGAUCUUGAGUUAAUUUGUUAAAUCUGUCAAGAUUGGCUUCAAGAUCAAGAUGUGGGUAAAAUUUGAAGCUAAAGAAUUGUUUCCAAAGAUAAUAUUUAUUGGGAAGUGAUUUUGUUUUAUAAAGGGAUUCAAGUUUUGUCCAAAUUUCCUCAGCAGUCUCAAUUUUUCCUACUUCUCUAAUUGCGCUAUCAGACAAGUGUAAGAAAAUCAGACUCCAUGCAAUAUCAAUUUGUUCAUUUCUUUUUCUUUCUAUGAUUUCUUUUUCUCAAGACUCAUCAAGUGCUUUCACUCAUUUAUGUGGCAUCAGAAGUGCCUUCAUUUUUUGACUCCAAAGUGUAAAAUCUCCUUUUCCAUUCCAGAUUUCUAUGUCAACUUUUGUACUUGUCAUUUUUGGUUUUGAAAACAAAAAAUUAUUUCCAACAACUUUGAAAUAGUUUAUAAGUUCGAAGUACAAGAGUUGCAGAAUAUGAUUUUUCAAAUGUGCAAACACAACACGACAGAUUAAUGUGCAGCAAACCAAUUCACACUCAAGUGCACAGAAAUUAACACACACACAGAAACCAGCAAUAGAAUAUCAUUACAAGGUUUACAAAACAAAUAUCUAAAAAGAUCAGCCCUCAGACCCUAUUUUAUCCCUCACAGAUCGAACAGACAGAUACAUCAAGUAAUCGAACCUCACUGUUCAACCAAGAAUAGAUAUAAUCUCUACACCAAGUAUACGAACUAGAUCUCACCAAGAACAUCUAAUGAUUCAGAGAUUACAAAAAAAAAAAAAAAAAACCAGAGGUUUUUCGAGAAAGAAAAUUACAGAGAGCAAAACGAAAGAUAACCUUAGAAGUCUCUCAUAUAAUGGUAAGUAAAAAGUCUAGGGCUAAGUAUAAUUAACGGUUACUUGCAUCCAACGGUUUAGCCGACUCCACUUGGUACUAUCUGAUCCAUCCAGUUAAAACAAACAAAAGUCGCAUUUGGAGGAAACACGAGUCUGCAUUUUUCUAAACAGAUUUUUUUACAUUUUUUAUUCAUGUGGAGUCGACAUGGGUCCCAUUAACAUGUGAGUAUCUGUCAAAAACAGUGGGUUAAGUGCUUUAAGGCUGUCAUCAUCAAUACCAAAACAACCUUCUAGAACCAAAUCUUCGAGGUAUUGCAGCUCUAGGACUUGAAAUAAGCAUUUAUUUGUGAUCUACACAAAGAAACAGAGAUAUCAUCAAGCUCAGAUGUAUCUUAAAUAUAAUAAAAGAAGAGUUUUCAAUCAAAUGAUGCUUUCUGCAAAUCUAUAUCAGUCAUUGUCUUUAUCUCAAAAUACAAAUCAUUAUUAAUUAAGUUGCAUAAAUAUCUGUUUAGUUGGUCUUAGAGAAAUACAUUCUUUGAAAAACAGUGAAGAAAAGACAACAAAACAUAAGCAUGAGCUUAAUGAAGAAUAAUGAAACCAUAAUAACUCGAUGUUGUACAAAUUGUGCUAAGAACAAUAGGACAUCAAAUUUGAAAACACAGAGUUUAUAAACUCGAGUCUACUUUAACUAAAAAUGAACGCGUUACAUCCACAUCGACAUGUGUUUUUGUUGGAGGCUGUCGUCAUUUGCAUUCAUAUGAUACAGAUGUAUACUGUGACGAACCAUUCCACCUCUAAAAAUAAAAUACUAAUUAAAUGUCCAUAUGAUGAAUAUUCUUUGAAUGUUUAAUAUUCAAAUUAUAAAGCUACGACACCAAGUUGACGACAUUGGUCCCACAUCAUAUUUGACAGCUACUGACCUCGUGCACAAACAUGAAAUUUCUUUUAUUUUUAAAAAUGUUUUAAAUGUGAGAGCUUCUAUGUAUCACACCCUAAAAGAGUAAGCCAUAUGUGUCUUCAUAACACCUAAGACAAUCUCUUAUAAUACAUUGCGAUAAAGACUUCCCACCAAGCAACGUUAAUAAUUUGACAAAUCCCGUAAAGUACAAAUAAAAGUGACCUAGGGUUCUUAAACAGGCAAUAUCUAAUCUUAAAAUGAAAUCUCAUUACUAUCAGUUGUAACAUCAAGAAACUUCAAAAAACAACAUGGUGAAGCUAAUAAUAAUAGAUAAAUCUCAUAAACCUACAACCAUUAAUUACAUUUAGCUAAAAACAAACAAGGGUAACAAACAUAACAAAAGUCAUCAAAAUACAGAAAAAACUUGCAUCCAUCAAGAAGAAACAACAAUUAAACCAUACAAGUAGGACUGUAAGCAAAAAUCGUCAAAUCGAAACUGCAUUUUAGAAACCAUCGGUUUGGUGUCACGUAGACCUGGUUAACGAAAUGGUUUUGAACCAAACCAAACCGGUCAAAAACGAUUUGGUUUAGAUUUGAGAAUUUUAGUUGCGGUAUAAAACCAAACCCGACCGGCAAAAAAAUAUAUAAAAAUAGAAAAAUGAAAUUUUUUGAAAGUUCACCCAAAUAUGUAAAAUUCAAUAGUUUUGUCAUUUAUGAGUAUUUUUGUAAAUUUCUAAUUUUCGAAUACAGAUAUAUUAUUAUUAUCCAAUAAUCCCAAUUUAUAUCUAAUAAUCUCAAGACUAACAUAAUCUAUCAAAAGCCCUUUUCCUUUUCAGAAUUUAGAUGAACUCCAACCGACACCCAACACAAUCUUAAGCUACCGGCACCAUAUACUUCUUUUUCAAAUUUUUCACGCAUCUUCAAAGUUAAUUGAUGUCCAUUAUACAAAUCGAAGACAGAGAUCCUGGACCUUCGACGAUAAUAUUUGUUACGAAUAAAGUUUCCGAUCAAUAAUUUUUUUGGAGCAAACUAAGGUAAGGAUCUGAAAUUAAAUACGUUUCGCAGCAUUAUACAAACGUAAACUUGUGUAAUUGUUAUAUUUAGAUAUUAUAAACAAUUACUUUAUUAGUGUGGUUGGUUAAUCUCUUUGUUUAAUCAGUAUCUUUUUUUCAGAUAUGAUGAUUACGAGAUCUUGUUGGACAUUAUUAUAUUUUUUGGAUUUUAUAUCUAGUUUAGUAGACUUGUAUUUUAAUGUUCUUGUAUCGUCGUUAGACUAAAAAAGGUGAACAAAAAUGAAAAAACUAUGUUUUAGUUUAUUGUGAUUUCACUUUGAUUUUGUUGGUAUUUAAAUUUAUAGUAAAUAUAUUUAGUUCCUAUUUGAGCCAUAUUUUUCAUAUCAUCAUAAUGAGAAAAUUGACCGUUGGAUAGGAGGUUAGAUCCCACACAUGAAACAGCAGAUCAACAAAGGCGGCUGAACUUGUGGGAUAAUGAUCCAAAUUUUUAUUUUUUGUCCAAAAAUUUGGUUCAAAUAGGGGCUUGGUCUAUUUUAGAUUUAUUGCAAGUAAAAUAUAAAUAUAUAUGGAAUUCAAUGAAUUAAUAACAUAAAAGUAGACAGGCAAAAAAAAAUAUGGCGAAACUGAUUGUUUAAAAUCGGACCAAACCGUUAGGUAUAUGUUUGAGUUUUUUUCAAACCGUUCAAAAUGGUUUGGUUUAGGUUUGAAUUUUUCUCAAACUGAUUUAAACGGCUUGGUUUGAAAAUCUAUCAAAAAUCUAUAAAACUGGACUGCUUACACCUCUACACACAAGGGCGAAAACAUGAACGAUCAACUAGCAUAUAUAUCAUAAACUAAUCAAUAUACUAUACUGCAAGACCUAUAACAAAUCCGAAUUAAAUGAAUUAACAUCAAAAUCGAAAAAAUAAUCCCAAAUCAGUAAUUUUAAUGCUAGAGAACAGCCGUAUUAUCAGCAAGUAUGAUAGAUCCAAACUGCGAAUUUUCUUACACUUGACAGCAAUUAAUCCCACCCCCAAAUCACCGAUGCCAAAACACCAUUUCAAGCUAAGCAAUUUCAGCUUCCAACAAACCACAGCAAUACACCCAAUGCCUAUAUCAGUAAUAGAUUUGCACCUAACCAACCACAAUUUCUCCAAGUCCUUCACCUCGACUAUAGAAGCCCCGACCAAAUCCUUUAAAUUCGCGGCGUUUGACAAAUCAAUUUCUACCAAAUUCCUACAAUUCACCAAUAAAUUUGAUAGCCCAACAUGGGAAAAAAACCUGGACCUUGAAAGAUUAAUUGACCUCAACAUUUCUUCACAAUACCCUGAUAUUAUACCUAGAAAACUAUCUGUAAUUAUUGGGCAUGAUGAGAGAUCGAGAUGCGAAAUAAAAUGGUAUCGAAUCAAAAUUUUUGUUAAGUGUUCCGAACGAAAGGGUUUCAAGACCUUCCUAUGUCGAGAUUCAAUAGUACAAAAUGAUUUGCAAACGAGAGAAAAUGAUUUUUUUAUCAAGUGGGUCAUCGAGAGAAUCAAGAAUUAAGAAAACUAUCUCAUCAGAGAGAAGAUCAAACCUAUUGAAGUUAAAUUCAGGGAUUGAUUUUUGCGUCUUCAUUGCUAAAAAGAUUUAGAAUUUCAAUGAGAAAAGGCUCAAUAAUUUGUUUGAGUAAAUUAUAAGAUGUCGAAUAGUGUAUAUGUACAUAUUAUAUAUAGGGUAAUUGGCACAAAACGUUCCUAUCUUUCGAGUAUAUUGUGGAAGAUGUCCCUACCUUUCAUGUUUUUGGCAUUUUUGCCCCUAUUUCCACCUUUCUUUGUGUCAAAGGUCCUUUUCACUAUUUUUGGGUGUAAAAUAACCAAUAUGCCCUCCUUCUCAAAUAAAAGAAAAAAAAUAAAAAAAUUGUAACUAUAGACAAAACUUCUAAAAAAGUGCAAAUGCCCCCCCCCCCCCCCCCCACAAAAAAAAAAUAACCCCUCCCCCAAAAGCCAAAACCCCCCCCCCCCCCCCCACACCAAAAAAAAAACUUCACCUUCUUCCUACACCUCACCCCCACGCCACUGCCACUUGCCAGCGAUUUUCAACCACCUUCCGAUCAGCUUGGUAGCCAAACCAACAUGCCAACUUGAAACCCCCACUUCCCUCUUCACAACCCAUCCAAUCACUGGCCGAAAAUCUAAAGAAAUUAGUCGAAAAAUCGCGCCAAAACAGGCUGCCACGCAACUUCAACAACAAAAUCGACAAAUUCAACUCCAUUUUUCGGCACCGAAGUCAUGAUCGAUGAUGGUGGACCACCCCUCCUAGCACCACCUCUUCAAGGAGAACCUAAUGAACCUAUGGUUCAUCGUUUAUUUUAACCAGGAGUUGUAGAACCGGGCGAUUUCUUCAAUAGCAAAAUCGGCAACUUCAAACACAUUUUUCGUCACCGAUGUCACGAUCAACGAUCGCGCACAACCCCUUCUAGCACCGCCUCUUCAAUGCGAACAUAAUGAACCUAUGGGUCAUCGUCAAUUUUUGCCAGAAAUUGUAGAAACAGCCUCGACAGUUCAUACACAAAGAAACUCGGUCGAUCCCCUUUCAAUUGAUGAUGCGACUGGGCUUCAAUCCACCAAUUCUAGCAUGUAAUCGUCAACUAAUGUUGUCGCAAUUAUGGGUCCUCCAUCAAUUGCAUCAGUUCAUCAACCAAACGAUCAAUUUUCAAGAUUGAACUCAAGAACUAUCGGCUGAAUGCAAACUCCGAUUUUCUGGCUGUAGAUUUUGAUUUUCAGCUUUGUUUGAUGAUAUGAAGACAUCUAUAGGAGCGUAAUGAGGAGCAUAAUCGACCUGGCGAAUGGGGGUGCCAUGGGUGUCGUAAAAAAUGGAGUUUUCGGCCUCCAUUUUUGGUCGUUUCAUGUUGCGUGAGCAACCAAUUUUGGCGUAAUUUUUCGGCCAAUUGCUUUAGAUUUCGGCCAGUGGUUGGAUGGGUUGUGAAGAGAGAUGUGAGGGCUUCAAGUUAGUAUGUUGGUCCAGCUGCCAAGCUUAUCGGAAGGUGGUUGAAAAUAGCCGGCAAGUGGCGGUGGCGUGAAGGUGAGGUGAGGGAAGAUGGUGAAGUUUUUGGGACGGGGGCAUUUACACUUUUUUAAAAGUUUCGCCUAUAGUUGCAAUUUUUUCUUUUCUUUUCUUUUUUCUUUUAUUUAAAGAGAAUGACAUAUUUGUCAUUUUACACCCAAAAAAAGUGAAAAGGACCUUCGACGCAAAGAAAUGUGAAUAUAUAAGCAAAAAUGUCAAAAAAUGAAAUGUAUGGACGUUUUCCACAAUACACUCGAAAGGUAGGAACAUUUUGUGUCAAUUACCCAUUAUAUAUAUGUUGGAUGAUUAACCGUUAACAGAAAAGACUGGCAUGAAUUUGAGCAAUUGAUAAAUGAGAGCUGGUGAAAGUAUCGUUUGAGGAAGAAGAAUGUACGUCUGAAAUUACAAUAUAGUCCCUUUUGGCAUGAUUCCACAACCAUGGUGGAUGAUAUCGCUACUUUUAUAAGGACAUAACUACCCCUUAUCAACCAAAAUUAUUGCAGGUGAACAAAUUGGCUAAAAAGUUCAAUUUUGCUAGAGACAAUAUUAGGAGUGGGCAUGAUUUGGUUCGGUUUGAUUUUAACGAGAAUUGAACUGGACCAAAAUUUUUUGGGUAUUUAGUAAGUGAAAACGUUAUGUCCAAAUUUAAUUAUAGAAUCGUUCGGGUUUGGUUCCCUAGUUCUGUACUAUAAUAAUUUUUUUUAAUAUUUACACAACUACAUUAAUUCAACUAAUGACAUAUUCAAUCUUAAUUUUUACAAAAUAGCGUAGUCCAAUCUUAUAUGUCUUUUACAUCUCUCUUUAUUGAAUUCUUUAUAUAUUUGAUUGUUAAAAUCACAGAAAGACAAUGAUAGCAAGCUUACAAUAAUUAAAAGAGGCGCAGUCGAACUUCAAUUAAAUUUCUCCAUAACGGUAAAAAUGAUACAACAGUAGAAUAAAAAAUUUGGGUAAAAUUUAGGUCAAUUUAAUCAAAUCGAACUUGGAUUGAAAAUUAGAAAUAAAAAAAUCAUAUUUUUGGGUUUGAGCUAAAUUAACCAGUUAACAAAUUUAUUAGAAAAAUAAAAUAAUUUGGCUUAUUUAAAAUAAAUAAAUUAAAAAAUUAGGGAGAUUAGGUUCACUUCAAUUCGAUCGGGAGUUUUGCCCAACCCUAGAUAAUAUUAAAUGUUUUAGUCAUAUUUGAAAACACAAGGAGCAUAUCUAAUAUUAUAAUAAGUAUGAGGGUAACGUUUAAAUUUUCCUUACAUUUUCGGAGCUUCAUUUAAAAAGCCUAGUUAAACAAAACAUUAGUUUAAAAAGUCCACAAACUAAGGGCGAUGUCCUCAAUUGAAAUUGCAGUGUAUUUUAAAAGUCAUUCUAAAUUUAGAUAUCUUCAAUUGAGAUUUUAUUGAAUUUUAAUUAAAUUCAUUAAAAUUUAGGUGUUCCCAAUUGAAAUUUUAAUGAUAUCAUUUAAAAUUUUGGUAUCCUCAAUAAUUAGUGGAUUUAUAAAGAUUUCAUUAAUAGAAUGAUUUUAAAAGAUUUGGAUAGAUUUCAAGUUUAAAAAUACAUAUAAGUAAAUCUUUUGAAAAUUUCACCAUAUUUGAUGAGAUUCUUAUGAAAUUUGUAAAAAUCUAUUUAAAUCCACCAAAUUCAUAAGAAUUUAUAAUCAUUUAAAAUUCAUUAAAAUAUUAGUUGAGAACACCCCUGAGUUUUUUUGGGUAGAAUGCCUAAAGAUAUGGAAAAUGAAAAAUUAAUUUGUAAAUGACUAAAAUUACCUUACAUACAAAAAAGGCAUUGCUGGCCUAAUUCCCAUUUCAAUUCCCAUUUGACCCCAAUUAAAUUCUAUCUUCAUUCCAUUUGCUCUUCAAAAAUCGGUUGUAGAGAUAUGCAAUUUCUUUCUUUGUCAUCAUCAUUUUUCUUUACAUCAUGAAGCCAUAAACUCUACAUUUCCUUUUCCUUGAACACUCAUUUGGUUGAAAUGAGUAAUAAAAUCUUACAAUAUUAUUUUUGGGCAUUUGGAGAAGAAUGGGGUGUUGUAAUUUUCAAUUUUUGGAUUAGUUUCUUUGUCCAUUUUUUUUUGAAUAAUUUCUUCAUAUUGUUAUAUAUAUGUUUAUGAUUUUUAUUUGUGAACAAUGAUUUUGAAUUAAUUUUAUCAUUAGAUUAGAGUUUUGAUAUGGGUUACUUCCAAACCCUUUUCUCAUUAACCAUCAUUUGUAUCAGUUAUAAUAAAAUGUAAGUUUGCAAAUGCAUGUUUGACUAUUCUUUUUAUUGGUCUAUUGUAAAACAUACAUUUAAUUUUCGUCUAUACAUAACGAUUUACAUGUCAUUUUCUACAAUCUGUAACGACUUACAUAUCGUUAUUAAUACUGUACAAUGUUUAAAAUUUGAUGAAAUUUUUAUAUUGAGUUACAUUUAUGGACACCGCGAAUAUAGUAUAGAUAUCAGUUUGUUUUCCAAUUGAAUAUGAACAGUCGGUUGAAGGUGUUUAAAAAUGAAAAUAUGCAGGAAUGGUAAAGGAAAAACAACUCCUACUCUUGUUGCGAAAAUUAUUUCUUAUGUAGAAUUAUAUGAUAAAGUCAAAGAGGUGUUGAACAUCAAUUCACAACUGUUUCGAAAUUUAAUUGAAAAAAUCGAAUGAUUUUUACAAUUUCAAAUUGUUAAGAGUAUAGUAUAAGAUAUCAAUGGAUUGCAUAUUUUUAUUCCCAAAUAAGAUGGAAUAAACCAAUACCUUGGAGUAGAAACCAAUGCCUUGUCUUUUGUUAGAGAAUACUCUUUUGUCAUUUCAUUUAUAUUUAUAGUGGAUAAUUGAUUUGGAAUUAUUUCCUGCAAACUACAUAAUCAUCAUGUGUGUUAUUUUGCUCAUUUACUUACUUUCAAUAUAAAGAUUCAGAAAUUUGGAUGUUUACUUUGUGAUUUCGUACUGCAGCUCUCUUAAGGGAUAGGCUUACUCAACUUUGCUCUAAGAGGAUUUGGACAUAGCAGGUUGAAUAUUGUGUCAGCCUUUCCCAUCCUCGACCCAAAGAAAAUGGGAAACCUAGUUUUUUCCCCCUUUUUCUUUAAGUAUUAUUGGUGGAUGACUUGCUUAUAUAAAAACAAUUGGUCCAGCAUCUUAAGCAAUUUAUUCAUUUAGUUUCAUCAAAAUGUAGGUCAAAAGCGUGUGUAUAUAUGUAUGUAUGAUAGAAACUAUAAUGUAAUGGCUGGCUUAUAUACUAUGCGAACUUCCUGGUUUAUGAUCAUAAUUCAUAAUCCAAAUUUCUAAGUUUGUGAUGGUGGUGAGAUUAUAAAUGAUCAAAAUUAUUCAAUAGAUCCAUAAAGACUAUAUUAAUCGACCGUUCAUUUCUAUUUUUAUAUAUUUUUCUGAAAACAUUCUUGAUUUUUGAAGUUCUCGAGUAAUAAUUAUCUAAGAUUAAGGUUAUAAUAUUGUCCUGAUUUAUAACUUUAUAAUUUUUUGCUUAUUCGAAACACGAGAUGAUUUAUUAAAUUUUGUAGUCAUUGUUCUAUUGAAAUGCUUUUGCACAAUUGAAAUGCAAACGAUGUUUAUAUAGUUACAAUUGAUCUAAAUGCACUCAAUCUAAUGACGAUAUACAUUUUCUUCCUUCUAAAACAAAAUGUUUAAAAUCGUUGUAGUACAAAAAUGCAUUGAUUUUAGUUAAGACAUUGAAGUCGUUCUUGAAGCACAAAACGAUAUAAAUGUCGUUCCAAUACAAAAAAGUAGAGUGAAUAACAUAAUAAUAUUGAAACCGUUUUUGUAAUAAAACAUGAUUUCUACAUCGUUUCAGUAUGAAAUACACACUGCUUAACUUAUUCUGGUAACGACAUAAAAGUCGUUAUGAUUAUACAUAAACGAUAUAUAAGUUGUUCUAUUACAAAAAUGCACUCAUUCUAAGAAUGAUAUUGAAGUCCUUCCUGAAGUUCAAAAUGAUAUAGAUGUCCUUCCAAUAAAAAAAGUGCAUUGAACAAUGUAACGAUAUUGAAUGCAUGACGAAUAGUUGUGGACGGUCGAAUUGUUACUUUUAGCUAGAACGAUAUAAUUAUCGUUUUAUAUAAAAAGAAACGAUAUCUAUGUUGUUAUACUUGUGAUUUGAAUUGAAAUGAUUUCAAACUCUUCAAAUUUGUACUAAAACGAUAUGAAUGUCAUUACUUUAUUUGUGAUUUUGAUACAUAACGAUAUCAUUAUUAUUUCAGUACAAGUUUGAUGACGUUGAUAUCGUCUAAGCUUAAAUCAUAACUAAAACUACACAUAUAUCGUUUCAGUUAAGAUAAAACGACAAUUAUAUCAUUUCUACUAAAAAUAACAAUUCAACCAUCCACGACCACCAGACAUACAUCUGACAUAUGUUGAAUGAUCAAAAUAGGCAAUCAAGUGGGUUCAAUCUCACUCAAAGGAAAUUAUGAGAACAUUUUUUGUUAUCAUGAUUGUAUACCAUCUUUGAACAAUUUUGACAGAAAGUUUCGCUCUUUUUAAGUCAUUCGAGUGGUAUCAACCCACUCGAUAAUCUCUUUCGAUCGUCUUACUUAUGUUGAAGGUAUGAUAGAUGGUUGUAGACGGUCAAAUUGUUAUUUUUAUCCAGUACGAUAUAAUUAUCGUUUUAUACGAAAAGAUACGAUAUCCAUGUUGUUAUAUUUGUAAUUUGAAUUAGAACGAUUCCAAACUCGUCAAAUUUGUACUAAAAUGAUAUGAAUGUCAUUACUUUAUUUGUGAUUUUGAUACAUAACGACAUCAUUAUCGUUUCAAUAUAAGUCUGACGACGUUGAUAUCAUUUUAGUUUAAAUCAUAACUAAAACUACACGCAUAUCGUUUCAGUUAAAAUAAAAUGACAAUUAUAUCAUUUCUGCUAAAAAUAACGAUUUGACCGUCUUCGACUACCAGUUAUGCAUCUAUCAUAUGCAAGAUGAUCAAAAUAAGUAAUCAAGUGGGUUUGAUCUCACUCAAAAGAAACUAUGAAAAUAUUUGUGUUCUCAUGAUUAUAUACCACCUUCGAAAACAAUUUUGACAGAAAGUAUCUUCGUUCGCUCUUUCUAAGUUAUCCGAAUGGUAUCAAUCGACUUGAUGACCUCUUUUGAUCAUCCUACGUAUGCUGCAGGCAAGACGGGUGAUUGUGGACAAUCAAAUCGUUAUUUUUAGUUAGAACGUUAUAAUUAUCGUUUUAUAUGAAAAGAAACGAUAUCUAUAUCGCUAUACUUGAUUUGAAUUAGAACGAUUUCAAACUCGUUAAUUUUAUACUAAAACGAUAUGAAUGUCAUUACUUUCUUUGUGAUUUUAAUACAUAAGGAUAUCAUUAUCGUUCCAUUACAAGUUUGGCGACAUUGAUAUCGUUUUAACUUAAAUCAUAACUAAAACUAUAUACAUAUCGUUUCAGUUAAAAUAAAACGACAAUUAUAUCGUUUAUGCUAAAAAUAAAUAUUUGACCGUCCACAACCAUCAGACAUGCAUCUGACAGAUGUAGGACGAUCAAAAUAGAUAAUCAAGUGGGUUUGAUCUCCCUCAAAAGAAAUUAUGAGAACAUUUUUGUUCUCAUGAUUGUAUACCACAUUUAAACUAUUCUAGCAGAAAAUAUUUUCGUUCGCUCUUUUUAAGUCAUUCGAGUGGUAUCAAUCAACUUAAUGACCUUUUUCGAUUGUUCUACGUAUGCUCAAGGCAUAAUAUGUGGUUGUGACUGGUUGAAUCUUUAUAUUUAGCUAGAACGAUAUAAAUAUCAUUUUAUAUGAAAAUAAAUGAUGUCUAUGUCUUUAGCAUUGUGAUUUGAAUUGGAAUGAUUUCAAACUCAUUAAAUUUGUGCUAUAGCGAUUUAGAUGUCGUUGUCUUAUUUUGAGGAUUUGAUACAUAACGAUACUAUUAUCUUUUCAGUACAAUUUUGAUAACAUUGAUACGCUUUAGUUUAAAUCUUAACUAAAACGAUAAAAACAAUAAAUAUAAAAAUGACGGUUCGAUCGUCCAUGGUCACCUGACAUAUAUUCGUCGUACGUAGAGUGAAAAAAUAAGUCACUAAGUGAGCUCAAUCUUAUUCAACAGAAUGAAAGAUAGUAUCUCCAUUUGCUCUUUCUGAGUCAUUCGAGUACUAUCAAUCCACUUGAUGCCUUUUUUCGGUCAUCAUAUGUUGUUCUAAUUAUUAUUUAAAUUAUAAUGAUUUCAAACUUGUUAAAUUUGAAAAGAAACCAUACAUAUAUCGUUCUAUUUAUUAUUUUGUACCUAGGGAAAAAUUUCAAAGUCAUUAUUAGAAUAAGAGCAUUUUAUACUAGAACGACAUCAAGUGCUUUAUGUUCACCGGAACGAAGUGUAUAUCGUUACAUGAAUAUGCACAAUGUUCACAUUCUGAACAUCUACAAUACGUAAACUUGAAAAAUUAUAAAAAGCCACGAAAAUAUGUAAAUUUCAAUUACAUUUAAUAUCGUAGUUAUAACGUUCUAGUGUAAUCACUCUUGAAAUGAUAUGUAUGACAUUAUAGUUACGAUUGAAUAGGAACGAUAUCAUUGUCGUCGAAAAUUGUAUUGAAACGACAUAAACAUUGUUUACUUAUUUCCUAGUGUGCGCCUAAACCUGUUAAAUAGCGAAGCAAUGUGUGUUCAAUAUCGAAACGACAAUUACAUCGUUUUUUGUAUUCCAAGAACGAGUUCAAUGUCAUUAUACAAAUCUGUUAAGCAGAGUGUAUUCGAUUCUGAAACGAUAUCAAAGUCGUUUUAUUUUUCAGAAACGAUUUCAAUGUCAUUAUGUAAAUCAGUGAAACAGUGUCAGCAGCUCAUUUCCAUUCCACAUUUUUAUUAAGUUGAUAAGUUAUAUUUUACGAUUUCUUCAAACUGCAAUAUCUUGGUGCUGGUUUAUCUGCAUCGACUUUUUCUCGACUCGAAUAGUUCUUCUUAAUUACAAACUUUAAAAUGAGUCUAAUAUCGAUAUACUACACCGUUUUCUAUUAAAAUCUAAUUAUUGGACUCUAAUAAGAUAGAAAUUUUAAAAAUAUUUUUUUGUCCAUUUUUUUUCAAAAUAUAACGAUAAAUUUAUUUUAAAAAAUUUCAUGUGUUAUAAUAGAUGUCUAAUCAAUAAAUGACUCAGUAAUUAUUUUCGAUUAGUUUCUAAGUUGUGGACAAUGUUAAAAGUUUGAGUGCACCAGAGAUCAAUUACGAAGAAGAGAUGGUCUUAAACUUAAAAAGAAGAGUUCGAAUUCUAAGGACGAGAUGAUUUUGAAGGGGAAGAUUUUUUGAAUUUAAAGGAAGGGAAUACUGUGUGUGUUGGAACAUGAAUGCAUAGUUAUUAGAGUCAACCAGAUGAUCGACUCUAAAAAAAUCAUCAAGUCAAUAGUUCAACUGGUGGGUUAUUGUUAAAUUUUAAUUUUAAUUAAAAUUUAUUUUUGAAGUGAAAAUGAAACAAUAUUUUGAAAUGUAAUAUACGUAUUUUGCUCACAAAAGUUAAAGGACCAUCGAUUAUCAUCAUGGUUCUAGAGUUAAAAUAUUUUCUUGCCAACCAAAGUUCAAGACACGGCUCCAACAAAUUUAGAAAAAAACUCCAAUCUCUUCCUGAUUUUUGUAAACUCAAGAAUUAUAUAUACGCCCAUCAAGGACGGGACCUUCAUGCUUAAAAAUCGAGAUUUAGUUAAGUUCAAACUUUAUGUUAAUUUUUUUACUCUUCUUUCACAGGACAAAAUUGACCUAUUUAAGUGGAUUUUUACUAUAUCGGAUGCUCAUGUUUAGCCCAUUUUAUUAUAUAAUUUUUUUUAUCUAAUUAUGCUGCUUAUAACAAAGAUAUACAAAUAUUAACAUAAAAACAAGUAGCUUUAAAAGUUCAAUAUAGUAUUCAAAAUUACGAAAAUAUAUUUCUGUAAAGGUAUGUGUAAUUGGAGGACGAAAUUUCUUUAUGCAUUUUAUGUCUAAUAAGUUCUAUAAAGAAUCAUAUAAAUAUUUUAAGCAAUAAAAAAAAAGUCAUUAUUUUAAAGAAAUUAUGUCCAGCACUUCUAAUUUGACGGAUUAUAUAAUUAUAAUAGCUUUUCUAGAUAUAAGUUUAAAAUAACUUUACAUUACUGAAUACAUUAAUAAAUAGUUAUUUAACAAUUGGCAUGUGAUUAAAUUAAGCUCCUAUUUGGUGUAGUUUAAAAAUUAAUAAAAAUUUAAGUCAAAUUAAUAAUUAUUUUAAUUCAUAUAUUUAUCCUUUUUUGGUCCUCAUUGUUUAAAAUAUAUAUUUCUCUCUUUUUUCAACCAUGCGUUAUUCAAAAAAAUAAUAUUAUAAGCCUUAUUUUUGUUACAAUACACAUUAUUCAUUAAAAUACUAUUUCUAAAUGCAUUUUGAACAGAUAAUGAGGCUUAGUACUUAAAAAAAUUCACAAUUUAAUUUACUUUUCAGCCGCGAUUAUAUCAUUUUUCUUUAUCAGAAUCUACAAAAGAAAAAUGAUUUCUGUUGAAUAGAGGCUAAAUCCCUGUUUAGUUCAACUAAAAAAGUUACAAAAUUUUAAAUUAAAGUCAACAAUUAAUUUUAACAACACCAUUUAUGAGAUCUAUAACUUUUAUUAAAAAAUUUUAAAAAUUUUGUCCAUGUUUGAGCUCCGUUUUUAUCAAAACUUAUUUGUUUUUGAAAAAAAAAAAAUUAAAAAUAAUUUCAUUUUUAACCAUACAUUCUUACAUAAAAUAAUUUCACACUUAAAGCUCAAAAUUUUACCUUACAUUUUAACCACUCAUUCUUCAAAAAUAACAAUUAUAACCCCAUUUUCUCAUAAAAUGAGGUCCAAACAUGGGCUUAAUUAUCAGCAAAAAAGGAAAAACUAUUGAUAUUUUCCAGAUACAAAUAAUAUAGGUACUUUGGUCAUUUAAGGAGCAUUGAUAGCGGGGGUACGGUAAAGGACAUGAAACCAUAGUUGUAAAUAAUAGUAGUUGAUGAGGGCAAUACUGGAAAAAUGAAAGUAAAAAAAUUCCCCAUCUUGCGUAAGACUAUGGGUGUCAAAAAGGCUCAAUGGCUCAGCGGCGGGUCGAUGGCUCAGGCGGCCCGCCGCUGAGCCCCAUUUUGAGGACACAAGUUGAGCUCUAACCGGUCAACGAGCCUUUAAUUUAAAAAAAAAAAUCUAUAAAAGAGGAAAAAGGCAACAAAUUUUGCCUUUUAAAAGGCAUAGUUUGCUGCCUUAAAAAAAAAAAAAAAAAAAAAAAAAAAAAAAAAAAAAAAGAGCACCAAAAAAAAAAAAAAAAAAAGGCCAAGGUAGCCCAGAAAAGAUAAAAAAAGAGCCGACCUGGCUCAGCUCGGGCUCCUAAAAAAGCUCAACCAUUUUCACCAAGCCGAGCUCAAGCCGAAAGUUUUAAGCUCAGCUCGUUGACAUCCCUAAGUAAGACCAAAUUUAUUCCGUGGAGAAAUUAUUUGAGGAAGGACAUAUCACACAUAAUGAUAAUUCUUGUGCGGAACGUACGAACAUUUUGAACAAAGACAAAACCUAAUUUAAUUCUUAAAUAGUUUUAGGUACCUAAAAUUAAUUAUUCUAGAAACCGUUGGCCCCACCACCACCACUCAAACUGUAUUGAUUCUGUGCCUAUCGUACCUACGUUACCCUGAUAAGAACGACCCAAUUUAGAGGUGUAAGCGGUCUGAUUUUAUCGAUUUUUGAUUGAUUUUCAAACCAAAACGUUUAAAUCGGUGUGAGAGAAACCCAAAUCUAAACUAAACCAUUUUAAAAGGUUUGAAAAAAAAAACUCAAACCCAAACCUAAUAGUUUGGUGUGAUUUUAAAUCGCCGAUUUCACCGUAUAUUUUUUUGCAUGACUACUUUUACGCCAUCAAUUCAUUAAAUUUAAUAUAUAUUUAUAUCUCACUAGCAAUAAAUCUAAAACAAACUAAAUAUAUCUACUAUAAAUUUAAAUACCAACUAAAUCAAAGUGAAAUCACAAUAAACUAAAACAUAGUUUUUUGUUCGCCAUUUUGAGGCUAAUGAUGUUACGAUAACGUUACAAUAAAAGUCUACUAAACUAAAUAUGAGGCCAAAAAUAAUAAUGAUGUCCAACAAGUCGUGAUCAUCAUAUCUGCAAGAAAAAAAUGUUACUGAUUAGACAAAGAGAAUAACAAGCAACAAUAAUAAAGCAAUUUUUUUAUAAUAUCUAAACAUAAUAAUUACUAGGCCUACGCAUUUUAAUCGGAACUGAAUCUCCCAAACCAGAAUUAGAGGUUCCAAUCCGGUUCCCGAAAAAUGAAUUAGGAACUAGAACUGAGAACCGAUUGGGUUCAGUUCGGUUAUUAGUUCUUGAACCAGAACCGUGGGUACUCGAAUGGAAUCGAUUUCUAUAAAUAAAAAAAAUUAUUUAUAAUUUAUUGGCUGGGAAAAAUAUAUAUAACCUAAAAAUCCUAAUUUUGGUGGUAAAUUGUUUCAUACUUUUUUUAUAUCUCACCUUACAUCAGAUUGUUACACCUCAGAGAUUAUUAUAUGUUAUUAUUUACAAUUUGAGCUUUUUAUAGAUCAAAGAUUUCAAACAGAUUGUAAUAUAAGUUGAUGAAUCAAAGUGUUCAUUUUUUUGUAAUUCAAACUUUUCACUUUCUUGUAUUAUUAAUAAACUUAAGUGAUUUUUUUUCAUAAUGCAUGACAAUUGAAUUUGAUAUAUUCACUGUUCACGCCGUGUUUUAAUUUUUUGUUAUCAUGAGUUCGUGGUUCUCUUUUUAAAUAUUUUUUAUUUAAAUGGAGCGAGUUUAAUAUGUGGACCAUAAUUUUUUGAUACUAUAUUAGCUAUGUAUUUAAUUAGUAUUUUUUAUAUUAGUUCGUUUUACAAGUAGAAGAAUUUAAGCAUUAUCCAUAAUUAAAUUAUAUGCCUGGUAUGCAUAUCUUAGAGAUCUAAUAAGAUUUAUUAAGAAAAGUAUUUUUUUUUAUCAAAUUACAAUUUCAUUUUUGAUUUUUUUUAUUUUCUCCUAUUUUCAUGACUUUUAGUAUCCAAUAUUUUCCUUUUUGAAGAUUUUUUAACUGGAUCUUCUCCAUUGCACAUAUAUUUUCGAGUAACAGCGUACUAGGUAUAUCCGUAUAUGUACCAGAAGGAUCUUUGUGAAAUAUUUAUUAAAAAUAUGUAUAUAAAAAUGUUGUAGGUAGAAUCGAAAUCGAAUUGAAACUGACGGUUCGGGUUUGAAUUUGAUUCCAGUAUUUACAAAGACCCGAAUAAUUUUAUUUGUGAAAUACCCGAAGUAUAAUGAGUGGUUUUGGGUAUUGAAAUAUCCGGACUGUCUCACUCGAUGACCAAACCUAACAAUUGCUCCGUUUCUAUUUCGUGUUAUUCAAGGGGUGUAAGACUGUAAUUAAUGUAGUCCAAGCCCAAAUUCUUCCUCUUUUCUAUUUUGGAGUUUAUAUGACUUUUGAGGCCCUCGGCCCAAGAUAAAAAUUAAAACUUGACAAAAAUAAAAUAAUAACUAAUUAGGAUUAUUAGGUAAUAAUAAUAUAUAUGUAAUAUAAAAUAAAAAAUUGACAAAAAUACUCACAAAUGACAAAAGUCACAAAACUAUUGAAUUUUACAUAUUUCGAUGAAUUUUCAAAAAAUUUCAUUUUUUUAAUUUUUAUAUGUUUUUUCACCAAUCCCAUUUGAUUUCAAAUCGCAAUUAAAAUUCUCAAAUCUAAACCAAACAGUUUUUGACCGGUUUGAUUUGGUUCAAAACCAUUUCGUUAAUUGGUCCACGUGGCACCAAAUCGACGAUUUUUAAAAUGCGAUUUCGGUUCAAUUUUUCAAUUUGACAAUUUUUGCUUACAGUCCUAGCCCAAUUGAUGUCUUGUGAGUUAAUUUCACUAAUGAUCCCUUGACUUCAAGAAAAUUUCAAAUUAAUCAUUAAAAUACAUAUUUUUUUAUGACCAUUUGUGGUAGCUGUUAAACCUAAACCUUCAAGUGGACCAACGACCAUUAGAGCAAUCAAUCCAUUCUAGUUGAGAUACUCUUUUCGAUUUGUUGUUGUAAGUGUUAUGCCCUAAAUCCAAUCAACCUUGGAUAUAAAUACUUUUAAUAUAUAAUUAAUGCAAUUUUAUGACACAUCUAUUAUUUAAUUAAUAUUCAAUUAAAUUAGAUAAUAGAGUCUGUGAUUCGAAUCUUGAUAAUUUGUUAAUCACAAGGAAUUGUGAUUGUGAGAUACAAAUUAAAUAUGAUUGAAUCUUAAAUCGUCUAUGGUCGUAAAUAAUGAUAUGAUACAGAUAUUGUUAUUACAGAUAAACCAUUACGUGUGACAUUUAUUACUUGUGAACUAAAUAACUGAUCUCACAAGUUAAAGUGUAGUGAUACUUAAAUGAACACGUAGAUAUUUUGUUAUAGAACAAACAUUGGAGACUCGUCGGGAGAUUCCACAUGGAUAACUAUCUAAGUGUUAGUGGUUAAUCUUUAAUGUUCGAUAGUGGGAUUGGUCCUUUAACUUGAAAUCGUCAUGGUACCUUAUAUAAGGACGGUUAUGUUUUGACGGUGUUGGAUGUUGCUCUGCUAAGGGCCGUUAAUACAGUAACAUUUAGGUAUGUCAAGAAUAGUAUGAAUGUUGUGAAUGAUUAAUAGAGGAUUCGUCAUUCUUAGAUAAUAAGAGACUAUGAUCUGCAUUUCAUUCAAUUAAGUCGAUAGCGAAAUCCUUGACCAAUGUGUACUCAUAAGUCGAAAAGGAAUUUUUGACUUAUAUUGACUUAAUAGUAGAGUGAAAGAUAUGAUUGAUAAUCGAGAUUGACACACUUUCAUAUCUCGUAAUUGAUUGGAUCAUAUUGACGAAAGGAUUAUAGUUUCAUGGUAAAUGAACGAGUUUGAUUUUUUCAUAUCACGUGACAUUUUCCGUCACAUGUAUUGCCCUGAUACAUUGCUAGAUGUCAAUCUGCGACGGCUAGUGUGAAUUGGUGAUAAAUUAAAAGAGUGUUUUAAUUUAUCAAUUUUGAUUAGAUCAAAAUAAUAUUUCAUGUCGUUAGGCAUUGUGAUUGAAAACCUGAUGGGUCGCACGCAAAAAGAGAACUGGAAGAUUGUGAUUUGUCAAUUAAUUAAUUUAACAAACGUUGGAUAAAUUAAUUAAUUGAGUUGCUCAUUUAAAGGCCUGGAUUAAUUAAUUCACGGACAGAAUUUAAUUAAAUGUGUUAAUUAAAUAUUGGACGGGAUCAGGCCAAGCCCAUUCGGGCUUCUAUAAAUAUGACUAGGAUUUUCAAUAUCUGUAGAGAAUUCAUUAUUAUUACUAGCACAAAAAAAAAUCAUAAUCUUACAAUCUUGUUCUCUGUGUGGAUCACCAUUGGAAGUUGGAUAAUUGGACAGCUGUAGAUGGCAAAUCAAGAUCAUUGGCAAAGGAGUUUGCAGAUCUAGAAAAAAUGUAUGAUCUUUAUCACAAUUUCUAUCUAAAUAUAAAGACGAUUCCUGGUGAGAAUUGAAAAACUGUUUUAUUUUUCGCUGUACAUGAUAAGUAGAUUCCCAACAGUCGCAACCUUUUUACAUGAUGAAAAAUAAGAUUGAAGUGAAAGGGAAUUAUUCGAAUUUUAUAGAGAACUUUAAUCUUUAAAAUAAAAUAAAGAUAUUGACCAUGGUCCAUGUCUGGAAUCCUAUCACUAAGCGGGAUUGAGUGGCUCGUCCUUAUUCCAUCAAAUCUCGUUGCAUCCUUAAACAUGGACACAAUUUUUAGUCGAAUUUAAUGAUGAAGGAGUAGAUUUUUGAUGUAGACCAGACAUCUUAUGACCAAUUAUUUUACAUGAUUUAACUUUAGGGACUAAAAUUUUCGAAAAAAAUAAUUUAAGAUCAAUUUAAAAUUUCGGAUAAAACUUUAGGGGAGUGUUCUUUCUACAGAGAUUUGUUGACAUAUAAAUUUAAAUCAAUCUAAUGGUUUAAAUUUAAUUUUUCAAUAAAUUUAUAUAUAAAUUUGAACACAACAUUCCCACAUUUACACCUCUUGCUAUUCAAAAUCACCCAACCCUAGCCUUUUAUCUUCUACUUUCCCACCUUCUAAUUUCGAUUGCCCAAUAAAUAAAUAAAUAAAUAAAAAAUAAAAAAAUUAAUCAUUGAAGAUAACGAAUUAUGUAGGGGUGGAUCCAAGACCGGGCUAUAAAAUUUCCAGCCGAGCUAAUCCGUUAAAAAAAAAUUAUACAUAAAAAACUGUUUUAAAAAAAAUAAUGAAGAAGAAGAAAGAAAAAUAAAAAUAAAUUCUUGGGCUUUUGGGGGACUAAGCCCCCCUUUACAUCCGUCCCUGGAAUUAUGGAAUGAUCUGACAUCAUCAGUGCCAUUGUUACAUGCUUCGGAUAUGGAUCGAGUAAUAGGUCGAUUGACGGAUAAGGACCAAGGAUCGUUCUUACGUUGACGACCUAUAAUGGUGAUAUGGUUGGACACUUCAAGGGGUCCGAGGCCUCCUUGUAUUGUUUAAUUCGAGUAAACUAAUAAAACUCCUAAAUCAACACAAGGUUGAAGACAAAUUCAUUUUAUAGUUUUAUUCGCUUUUCUCUUACUAAUAAAUAGCCAUUACAAGAUACCCCUUUAUGGGAACAGCAAAUUACAAGAACAAACAUUAUUGUAAUAAAAGAGCAAUAUGGAAAAAUAAAUUAUAAGGCUAAUCUUAAUUGGAACUAAAAAAGAAAUUAGGAAAUUAGACAAUUAUCUUGGCCAAGAUAAUUGUCUAAUUAUCCGUUACAAUUCCUUCCCUCUUGGAAAUUUCCUUGUCCUCAAGGAAAUAAGGAAAUCGGUUAUUGAAAUCAUCAAAGUCCUCCCAAGUGGCAUCAGCUGGAAAAAGAUUCUGCCAAUGGAUCAACAAUUCAUAUUUCCCUUUAACGUGCCGCAUUUCCAAAACUGCCUGAGGAAGUGGGUGUGGGGCAGAUCUUGUGGGAUAGGUGGCAAGGAAGUUGCAACAAUGUCGUGAUCCCCGAUGCCCUUUUUUUUUUUUUUGUUUGAAGGCCCUCUAUGCCCACGUAACUCCACCGAUCUGCCCUUCCUAAGAAAUCUCAUCCAUGAUUCCCUAAAGUCAAAAGUAACAUGGCCUAGUGUGUCAAGCCAUUGGAUGCCAAAAAUUGCGUCACAACCUUCCACUGGUAGAAGGAAAGCAUCAACUUGGAAAUCAAUUUUUUGGACGGUGAAACACGUGGAUUCGCAUAACCUUUCACUCUUCAUUUUGUUGCCAUUUGCCACUUGUACUGAAAAUGCCCCUAGUUUUGUAGCCUUGAUUCCCACUUUGGAAGCCACCUUAGAACUAAGAAAAUUAUGGGUGCUACCAGAGUCUAUCAAAAUAGUAAUUGGGAUACCCCCAAUCUUGCCAAGUAAACGUAUGGUUCUUGGAUUUGACGUUCUCAAAAUAGCAUGGAAGCUAAUUUCAGGUAUUUUGGUUUCAAGCUCUUCCUCCACAAUUACUUCAUCCUUGGAUUCCUCCGAAGAAGGGAGUAUGCCUUCGAUGAAAAAUAAUUUCUUACAUUGAUGUCCCAGCGAGAAUUUCUCGUCACAAUUGAAACAAAGCCCGCGAGAUCUCUGAUCUUGUAAUUCCGUUGGACUUAGUCUUUUUAUGACGGGGUUGCGUGCCCGUGUGAGUGACGCCGAAGGUAUAGGAGAAGGCCCGGGAGUCAUGGGGGCCUUCCUAAACUCCGAGAUCCCACUUCUACGUUGGUCGAUAAGCCUUGACUCGUAUAGGCGUACAAGCCCAAUGGCGGCAGAUAAGGAUACUGGAUUGCAUGCUUGGACAUCAACACGCAAACUUUCCUUCAAGCCGCUGAUAAAGCAUCCCACUUGUUGUCCCUCGGAAAGAGAUCCUCCUCGGUGUAAUAAUCGAUCAAACUCCAUUUGGUAAUCAUGAACACUCCUUGUUUGCUUAAGCUUCGUGAGAUCUCCAAAAAAAUUAUGGUACCGCGAUGGUCCAUAACGAAGAUGGAGUUCAUAUUUGAAGACUUCCCAGUUCACGCCUUCUCGCCUCACCUUAAAACUUUAGUACCAUAGUUGGACAUCCCCAUCCAAAUGAUACCCCGCCAAUGGCAAUUUAUCCGCUUCCUCAGUUUGGUGAAAAUCGUAAAAUUGCUCCACACGACAAAUCCACCCGGUCGGAUCAUCCAUGCCAUUAUAGCGUGGAAAAUCUAACUUUGUUAUUUUUGGUGCAGUGAAUUCUCCACUCGUAGAUCCUCGAGAGUUGAUGUAAGAGGAACCUUCUCCAUUCUUGCGUCCUUUGCCCGACCCUUCCUCCCGUUGAUGGGAGAACAUGGCGAACAUGGAUUCCAUCGUUUUCUGGAGUGAUUCCAUCGAUUGUUGCAACGAGCCUGUUUCGCCCUCCAAUAUAUCAACACGGGGGUCGGAUAUGGCUUGCUCUGAUACCAAGUUGUUACGUGCUUCGGAUAUGGAUCGAGUAAUAGGUCGAUUGAUGGAUAAGGACCAAGGAUCGUUCUUACGUUGAUGACCUAUAAUGGUGAUAUGGUUGGAUACUUCGAGGGGUUCGAGGCCUCCUUGUAUUGGUUAAUUCGAGUAAACCAAUAAAACUCCUAAAUCAACACAAGGUUGAAGACAAAUUCAUUUUAUAGUUUUAUUCACUUUUCUCUUGCUAAUAAAUAGCCAUUACAAGAUACCCCUUUAUGGAAAAAGCAAAUUACAAGAGCAAGCAUUACUGUAAUAAAAGAGCAAUAUGGAAAAACAAAUUAUAAGACUAAUCUUAAUUGGAACUAAAAGAGAAAUCAGGAAAUUAGACAAUUAUCUUGGCCAAGAUAAUUGUCUAAUUAUCCAUUGCAGCCAUCCACCAUGUUGUUGAUUGGCAACACUACGAAUAUUUUUUUUCAUCUUUGUUAAAGGUUGAAUCCCAAUCUUGAGGGCCCCCACCGUCCAGCUCCUAAAGUUUUGUGAGGGAGGUAAAUUACGGGAUAUGCCCUAAUAGGCUAGGAAACAAGAGCUGUAUGUACACUGCGCCUAUAAGGAGUCCAAUUCCAUGUUUCAGGAGUCGAACCCCCACACUGUGGCUGCCAGCAAGACGUGAGAUAACCUCACUUCUGUCAUUUGCACAACUAGGAUAUGCCCCGGGGCUGUAUUUUUUUAUUUUUGUCAUCUUUGUUGGUUGGAGUAGUGGUGGUUCUCAUUCACGUUGUGAUAAGGAAAACUGACGAUCUAUCUGUCGAUUUGGAGGAAAAAACAUACAAUCACCCACCUUGUUUUCCAGUAUCGUGUGCUUAAUCAAAUUAACAAUAAUUAAAAAUUCUCGUAGUAGUUCGAUAUAAUAAUAAUAAUAAUAAUAAUAAUAAUAAUAAUAAUAAUAAUAAUAAUAUUCUCAAGCAAUUUGGAUAAGGACUUUCCCGUUAGUACUUAUGUUCUUAAUUCACAACUUUUUCGAGCCUAUUGUUUUCUCGGUAUGGAAAACCAAACAUUUUCUAUGGGCUACGAUUACUAUACCUUAAUUAAUAUAGAUUGACUGAUUAUCUUUAUUCUAAUUUUGAACCAUUAGAUUGAUUUAUAGAAAUGGAUGAGAUUCUUUGUCCAAUUUAUAUGUCAAAAAUCUUUGUAGGGGGAACGCUAUCUGAACUUUAGUGAUAAUUUAAGGAGAGUUUUCUGAGGGAAGUCGAGACUGAUGCUGGCUCCAACCAAAUCCAAUACUUAAUUCGUCAACGACUAUUUAUUAUAAUGCCACUGGGGAUAUUAAUGUCCAUUUAUUGAAAGUACAAGCGUAUGCAACGUAUGGACGACCCAGCAAGGAGCAUUCAAUUAUAUUCCGUACGAUUUUACACAACGCUUGGACUUUGAAUUUUGGUGCAUCCUUAUAAAAGGAGUAAUAUUAUUAGCAAUUGUAUAUUACAGUAAUCUUUUUACGUGACAUAUAUAUGACAAUUAGUGAUUUGACGCAUCAAUGUGAUAGUAUUUGAUUGUCUAAUGUAUCAAAUUACUAAUCGCCACAUGUAUGCCAUGUAAAAUGACUACAGUAAUGAGUGACUGCAAAUAACAUUGUUCUUAUAAACGAGUAGUUGAAUAAAUUUUGACAUUAACUAAGUGAAUGAGGUCCAAUCUUCCUUAAUCUCCCUUGAGUGGCUGGACCUUGAUCGACCUCAACCACUCCCAAAAAGGAGAUAUAUCGACCAUAAGGUCGGACCAAGGGCUGAUCCGACCCUUGUCAAGAAAGUUGAAAUUUAUGAUUUUGUAUAACUUGUUGCUAUUUGCAACGUGUCAAAAUUAAAUUUUAGACGAGAAAAAUAUCUUCCAUCUGAGCGGUCCUCAUAAAAGAUAACGAAGCAAUUCAAAAAUGGUAAUAUUUAAAAUUAAAAACUUUUGGGAUUAUGUUUUCAUAAAUUAAUCACGUGAUAAGGACAAGAGUUCCGUGUAAUUCUAAAACAAUAAUCAACUUAACCAGUAACGUGAAAAUAAUGAAAGUUUUUCAUGUUUCUAGUUGAGUAAUCUACUGUUAAAAAAAAUACUAGAAUGUUCUUACUUUAAUAAUAAAUCACGUAAUCAUUUAUCGAUAGGUUAGAACACGAAAUCAUUAAGCCUUAUUUGAGCCACAUUAUUGGAAUGAAAAUACAUUUUUGAAUAGUGUAUUGAUGGAAAAUAUAUGGUUAAGAAAUAAGGAAAAAAUUUGGAUUUACGUGUAACAUUACUUUAUUAAAAAAUGUGUGGUUGAAAUGAUAUCAAUUUACUGUUAAAAAAUAUUUUUUUUUGAAAAAAUGUGGCUCAAAUAAAACCUAAAUAAAUCACCAGAGGAAGUUUGUAUGGCCAAAUAUUGUCAUCCCAAUAGGAUGAUGGGUUAUGCUAUUUGUACGCUCAUUUUUUACAUCACGAUUGACAUUUGCUGUGUUGUCAAAAAAAGAUUGGUUGAAAUUUUUUUUUUUAAAUUGUCAAAUUAAAUGAUGUCAUGUGACAGAGUAUAAUCAAUGAUAUAAGAAAUGAUGUAUAUCAAUCAUGAUUGUAAUACUAUAUUCUUCUUUAUAUUUCAUAAAAUAAACUUCAGAUGUAUGGUUCUACACCAAACAUCGACCACACAAGUCAUAUGCCAACUCUGACUAGUGAUCAACUAAGGAAGGACUCUACUCUCUCUCUCUCUCCCCCCUUUUUUUUCUCUCUUUUUUUUUUUUUUCCUUAGAGGUGGACUCUUACACAUAAAAGAUACCAAAUAGUCACAACAAGUCAUAUUAGUUUUGAUCUAUAAAUUCUUGAUAUAUCGUAUUUGCUAAGAUUGAAGUAUUAUGGCAGCGAUAUUACAAUUCAACGAAAAGAUGUAAAUUGUAUUUUUUUCAGACAAUACUCGUUAAAUAGGAUGACUUUCAUUUGAAAUCACUUCAAUUUAGUUUUAACUGAAUAAUUAAACUUUGAUUUUAGUUUUACUUUUACUAUUUUGCACCACAUAUCAUCUCUCAAUUUGAUGAAAAUUGUUUAAUUGAGGCACGUAACGCAACGGAUCUUCCCACUAAAUCGCACUACUCCAUAGAAGUCAUUUAAUUUUCUUAUUAAAGAUUUCGUACCUUAUUUAUUUAUUUAUUUAUAUAUUUUGGAAUUUCUCGAGGAUAAUGGGCAUGUAAGUACAUAGGGAGAUGAAGGGAUAAUCCAACUUAGAGGAAAUUACAGGAUUUCCGGCAUUUAAAGAUGUGAGUGCAAAAAUCAAGUACAAAUGUUUUUUUAAUCAGAAAUCAAGUAUUAUUUAUACCUACACUACCUAAUCCAAACAAACCCUAAUCAUUUUUUCAUAUUCUCAGAUUUUUCACUUCUCGCCUCCUUCAAUCUCUCUUUCCACCGUCUCCCUCUCUACCCUCUCUCUCCCUCAAACAUCCAUCAUCGUUGAAGAGCACCGCCGCCAGAGACGUGAGGGUUGAGCGACGGCAUAGUUGCUGUGGUGCGGCGCCCUCGCAACCGGUGUUGUGAGCAAUCUGGCUGGUCGAAGUCGUCACUUGUCGAUAUGAUCGCCGUGGAGUCAACGCUCAAAGCAGCAUCAUCAUGGCUGCGCUGUGCGACCAUCUAGUUGACAGCGAUGCAACAGUGGCUCGACGCACAAAAGUGUGUAAAAGUCGGUUUGUUGGUGUAGUGUGAAUGGAAGCCGGUUUGUGUUGGUGGCGUGUGAUGUGAGUUCCAUGUUUGUGGAAGUCGAUUUUGUUGGUGCUAUGUGGGUGUUGUGGUGUGUUGCAGUGUGAUGAUGUUCGUAUUUUUGGCGGUGACAGUGUUGGUGGUCGAUUUGGAAGCGGCGAUAGUGUGGUUCAGACGGCGAUGGUGAUUUUUUUUUUUUUUUUUUUUUUUUUUUUUUGUGGUGGCGAUGGAUCUGGUUGCAUUGAUUUUGUUGAUGUUGGUGUUGUUGUUUGUGUUGGCGGUGGCGUUGGCGGUGGCGACGGGGUGAUGGUGGUUGCAAGUGACGGUGGUGGAAUUGGAGUUGGUGGUGAUCGGCUAUUUGACAUGUGAUCUUAAAAUUCGAUCAUCUAUGACUAAAAAAAGUAAUAUGUGACUAUCAAAUUUGAAAAUAUGUGACAUGUGACUAUAAUUUUUUGGAUUUGUGACCUAUAAUUUUUUCAUAUGUGACCUCAACAAUCUGUGACUUAUAAAAAUUGUGAUUUGUGAUCUCGAAAAAAUAUGUAACUAAUUAAUUUGAUGAUAUGUGACCGAUAAAUAAAAUCUAUGACCUAUAAUUGUGAAUAUGUGACCAUGAAUAGUAUAAUUGUGGCUUUAUUAUCAUUAUUUAACAAAUAUUUUUAAUUAAUUAGCUAAACCUGAUUUUUGCACUAAAGAAACUUGUAACCUGGAUUUUGAAUUGGGCAUAGUUAACACCUGAUUUAUGAACUCUUCCCUCCAACUUAUUAAUGCAAUAAUUUGGCCCAAAUCCAGUAUUGUGAGAGAAUUUUAAAAGAGAUUUAAGAAGCAUUUUUAGUCUAAUCUUAAUUAAUUAUUGCAUAAUAGUCUAAUAAAUAAAGUACAAAAUAAAUACACAAGUAAAUUGGUGAUGGUCCUAUAUUCAACAAAACCGUACGUAUUCAACAUUUUCAUAGAAAUUCGUCUUAAAUAAGUAAUUUUUAAAUUUUUUUUAAUAAUAAUCAAUUUAAAUAAGUCAUAUAGAAAGAUCAACCCCGGUUUGAUUUAACUAAUUAUAUUCUUAGUAGAUUUUAAUGAAAAUUAAUGAAAUGUGUAAUUAAAAUGGGACAAAUUGUAGGUCCCAUGAAAAUAUGUUGUUCAAAAUGAAUUUUGAAAAAAUGGGAUCAAACAAGAGCUAACAGUCUUCUACGAUUUUAGUUUAUCAGUAUCCAACCACGUGAAACUUUGAGUAUGUUUCCAAAUUUUGCCCUUAUUUAAUUCUUGAAAUUUUAUUGCUCGUGUUUAGAUACACUCGAAUUUGAUAUUUACUUAUUGCUUAGCCUUCUAAUUUGACUUUAUUUCAUCGCAUUCUAAUUGUACAACAUAUAUCCCACAAUUAAUAAAAAAACACAAUCUUGGACCAAAUCCCCCUUCUUCAUUUUUUUUUUUAAUAAUGAGUCAAUUAAAUUCAUACAAAUAUCAGAUUAAAUAACAUUUAAAUGUAAAUUCAUCUGGCCCGGCAACCUUAGAACAAAUGUAAUUAACAAUAUUUAAUGGACUUUACACCAAAUAUCAACUCCACCACAUGCUAACUAUAGGAAAUUCUGUAUUAAGAAAAGAAGAAAAAUAAAAAUUUCAUUUAGUGUAUUAAUGUAGUAUUGUAUAAUGUUGUGUACUUAACUAUGUUAUGCAUUCAAAUAUCUAAGGGCUUAAAUGGUAAUUUAAUUGAAUAUUAAGGAUGAUGUGUGUUUUUUGAAGACUCGAAUACGUAUUUUUUAAUAUAAGUUUUCGAUAAAAUAUAUUUGUUUUAAUUCAUGUAUUAAAUUGUAGUUGAACAUGUGUUUUUCAAAUCACUGAUGAUCAAAUGUAUAAUUAUUUUAUUAAUAAAUUAUAGCUCCUACAUCAAAUAUAUAAUUAUUAUAACCUAGAGGUUUUUUUCAAUAGGAAUUAAACAUUCACAAAUAAAAUCUUAAGUCAGAGACGAUUCAAGUAAAAUUAAGUAGAAUAAAGUAAUUAAUUUGUUGAAUGGUCAAAUGAAGAAUAAAUUCAACAAAAAGAUUGCCAAACCCUGUACUGUGAGAAAUUUUAAGAGAGAUUUAAGGAGCCUUAUUAGUCUAAUAAGUACAUUUAAGUACACAAAAAUAAAUUGGUGAAGGGGAUGGCAAAAAUACCCGUCAAACUCGAUAUUUGCGAGAAUUACCCGCUUAAUCAGGUAAUUGGGUUGAGUGUAGGGUGGCUAAACCCCCUCGAAGCGGUGUAACGGGGACAAUAAAAUGAAGUAUAAAAAACUAUAAAAAAAAAUAAAAUUAAAUGUGUACGUAAACGGGGCAACCGCCUAGUACCGCCCCAGCCCGUCCCGCCUUAAACGGGUAAUGAAACGGUAGAGGGCGGGGAAAUGCCCGCACCGCUCCAAACCCGCCUCGUUGCCAACCCUAAUUGGUGAUGCAUAUUCAAAACUUUCAUAGCAAAUUCGUCUUAAUUUUUAAUACUAACCAAUUUAAAUGUCAUAUAGAAAGAUAACCCCUUCUGAUUUAACUAAUAUUGUAUUUUUAGUAAAUUAUAAUAAAAAUUGAUUAGUGUAUUAGAAAGUGGAUAAAAUUGUAGACCCCAUAAAAAUGUGUUGUUUCAAAUGACUUCAAAGAAAAUGAGUUUCAGAAAAUUGAGUAAAACAAGAGCUAAAAGUCUUCUAUGAUAUUAGUUUAUCAGUAUCGAACCACAUGAAACUAUGUGUAUUUUUUUUUCCAAAAUUUGCCUUUAUUUAAUUCUUGAAAUUUUGUUGCUCGUGUUUAUUAUUGCUUAGCUGAAUUGGACAACAACUAAUCCUCUCUCUCAUAAUUAAUAAAAAGGAUAACUAUCACAAAACAUUUCUAUUUUUCAAUAUUAUUGUGUAAAUCAUCCAUACUUUUCUUUUUCUUUUUUGUUUGCAUUUUCUCCCUUAAUUUUAUCUUUCAUUGUAGAAAUCAUCAUUUUCAUCUAUUUUUAUCCAAUUUCUCAAUAAAAAAUAUAAAAGAACAAAUAUACUCUCAUAUUUAAAUAAAAAAAAAGAAUAAUAAAGAAUAAAAUGCAAUUAUACUCCCAAGCUUUAAAAAAAAAUGCAAAUGAGUCCAAAUAAAUUAUUAAAAGGGCAAUUAGCACAAAAUGUCUAUACUUUUCAAUAUUAUUGUACAAAUUACAUUUCAUUUUUUUUUUGUAUUUCUUGGGUAAUUAGAACAAGACGUACUCACAUUUCAUUUUUUAACAUUUUCAUCCUUUUUUUACAUUCCACUGUGAAAAUCAUCACAUUCAUCCAUUUUAAUCUAAUUUCUCAAUAAAAAAAAUGUAUAAUAACAAAUAUAUCCACCUAUUUAAAUAAAACAAAAAAGUAAAGUAAAAUAAAGAAGAAAUUGCAAUUAUACUUCCAAACUUAACAAAAAAUUUAAAUGAGUCUAAACAAAUUAUUAAAAGAGUAAUUAGCAUAAAAUAUCACUGCCUUUUACUUUGUUUAUAUUUUCACCAUUACCUUCUCUUUCAUGACCAAAAUCAUCAUUCCAUUUUCAUCCAACUUUUCAAUUAAAAAAAAAUGUAAAAUGAUAAAUAUAUUCUCCUAUUUAAAUAAACAAAAAUAAAGAACAAAUUAUAAUCAUAUUCCCAAACUUUUUAGAAAUGUACGAAUGAGUUCAAAUAGAUUAUUGAAAUAUUAAAAAUUUAUCUUUUUCUCUUCUCCUCCUACUCCACCACCACCAUGAACAAUAAACAAUUCCCAACGCCCCCCGGAGCAUAGCCUAGUGGUACAAAGGAUAGAAGUGAGGUUAUCUCACUCCUUGCUAGCAGUCGUAAUGUAGGGGUUUGAUUCCUGAGACAUGGAAUUGGAUUUCUUGUAGGCGCAGUGUACAGACAGCUCUUGUUCCCUGACCUGCUGGGGUACAUCCCGCGAUUUACCUCCCUCACAAAGUUCUAGGAAUAAGACAGUAGCGACCCUCAAGAUUGAGGUUCAACUUUUUUUUUUUAAUAAACAAUUCCCAAUAUAUAUUAUUGGGCAAUAGAAUUUGUGGCCAAAAUUAGAUCAACCUGACUGUUUAUUGGGGCAAUUAAACUCAAACCCACAGUCGUGUGAUGUUGAUGAGAAUUGAACAUGUGGCACAUUAUGUAAAUCAAUACCCUCAAACCCAUGAAUUGAAAGAGACACAGUACACGUUUUCUGCGCACAGCAAGAGGGAAUUCCAAGACAUAUCAGCAUUAUAUUGUACUAUUUUUGUGAUGUUUCUCCACGAGUAUGGACGACUAGAUGACGUGGAUUGGUCAGCAAUAGUGAAAGACCAUAGGUAUUGACAGAAUGACCAAAAUUGGUGAAAAUGCCAUGCGAUUUUUGGUGUAUUUGGGGCUAAUUUUGAGUCGAAUUUGUGGCUAUUUGUGUAUUUUUUGGUUGUAAUGGAUUGAUGGAGUAUUGGAGUCAGUGGAAGGGUGAAAUUCUACUAGUUUUGACGUGACAACACGAUGCAUUUGGGAGGAAUGGGUGGCGGCUCCAUGAAGGGGCAAAAAUUGCCCCUUUCUAGAGAGAAAAAGUGGAAGGCUAGGUGAUGGAUUUGAGGACAUAUCACUAAAUUUGGAUCAUUCUCCAAUUGAUAGAAGAAUGGGGCAUUGAAAGGUGAUGAUAGUGGUGAUUGAUGCUGGUGGAAGAGAAAGAAUGAAAGAUAGUGAUUUUUGUUUUUUUAAUUAUUUAUUUGAAAUUUAUUUGUUUUUUUUUUGAAAAUUUUGGAAAAAUAGUUGCAAUUUGUUUUUUUUUCUUUUCUUUAAAUAAGAGGUUAUAUUCAUUAUUUCACAAUUUUUAUUUGAAAAAAUAGAUGAAAAUAAUAAUUUUCAUAAUGAAAGGUGAGUACACACACACACACACACACACACACAACACCUACAUCAAACAUAUAAUAAUUAUAGGAAGCCGCUAUUUACAUUCACAAUUGUUAUUUAUCUAUAUCACUUUAUAUCUAUUUCUAUCAAAGUUUAAAAAUUUUUAAAAAUACUAUUUUCAUCCAUAUUACAUUUCAAUAUUGUCCUUAUUAAAUUCAUUUAUUCAAACAUUAUACAUUCACAUUAUUUUUACCCUUUUUAUAGAGGAUUAUAUCGUUUGUGCACCAAAUUUUGUCACCAUUGUUGACACCUACGAUGUUGUCAAAAAUUUAUUAGUUGGAAAGACGGUUUAUUGUUUACACUAUUCAAUGACAGGAUGCAACGACACAUUGUAUCCAAUAAUGUGUAAAAGAAGAUGUACACCAAGCACGAUCUUUCAUAUAUCUAUCAUACUCUAAAUUCAUCACUAUUAUAAUUUCAAAAUUUUAAAAAACAUUAUAUCCAACCUCAUUACAUAUAACAUCAAGAUUCUCAGAAUUCUAUAAUUAAUUCUAUAGACAAAAAAUUAUAAGAUCAGAUUCCAUGAAAAGAGAAAAUCAUUCUACAAAUACAUUAAUGGACGAUCAUGGUCAUCACGAUCAUUCUCUUGACUAUGUUGCUCUCAUCCUAUAAUGUUUCUACUAAGUUUUUCGAUUAGUUGCUUCUUCAUCUUAUCAUUUACUUUGACGAACUUAAAUACUUGUAUGUAUUUGUUCUAGUGAUGUCUGUUUUAUUGUGGUUUUUAACUUUAGUUGAAGAAAAUAUUUUAUGACUAUUAGAGUUUUAGUUAAACAGAAAUUUUAAAAUAAUAUAAAAUGAUCCACAAAAAUUUAAUGAAAAUAAAUAUUAGUGGAUAAAUUUAGAGUGAUAUAUUUUUAUUUAAUUUUAUACGUGUAUAAUUAAGUAAAUUCACAUAAAAUUAAAAAUAUAAUAUAUAUAUAUAUAUAUAUAUAUAUAUCUCUUAAGUGGAUAUAUAAAAAAAAAAUGGUGAAUUUAUAUAACGGCUUCCUAAUUAUGACCUAGUGCUUUUUUCCUAAAUAGGAAUUAUUUAAUUAAAAUACACUGACUAUGUUGCUCUCAUCCUAUAAUGUUUCUACUAAGUUUUUCGAUUAGUUGCUUCUUCAUCUUAUCAUUUACUUUGACGAACUUAAAUACUUGUAUGUAUUUGUUCUAGUGAUGUCUGUUUUAUUGUGGUUUUUAACUUUAGUUGAAGAAAAUAUUUUAUGACUAUUAGAGUUUUAGUUAAACAGAAAUUUUAAAAUAAUAUAAAAUGAUCCACAAAAAUUUAAUGAAAAUAAAUAUUAGUGGAUAAAUUUAGAGUGAUAUAUUUUUAUUUAAUUUUAUACGUGUAUAAUUAAGUAAAUUCACAUAAAAUUAAAAAUAUAAUAUAUAUAUAUAUAUAUAUAUAUAUAUGUCUUAAAAGUGGAUAUAUAAAAAAAAAAUGGUGAAUUUAUAUAACGGCUUCCUAAUUAUGACCUAGUGCUUUUUUCCUAAAUAGGAAUUAUUUAAUUAAAAUACACAAAUAAAUUCUUUAGUCAGAAAUGAUUAAAGUAAAAUUAAGUAUAAUAAAGUAAUUAAUUUGUUGAAUGGUCAAAUGAAGAAUAAUAAAUUAAACAAAAAGAUUGUGAAACCGUACAUAUAUUUUUAAUACUUGUGGUAUUUCAAAAUUAUGCACCUAAAAUUUAUCUAUUAAGGUUUGACCAGAUAAACAUGGACUAAUUCAAAGCUUACAAAGGACAACUUGCUUCAAUGAUAAAUGCACAGGCUCUACAUUGUUGAAGUAAAGAAUCAUCAAUUAAAUUCAUUAGAAUAAUCAUCUUACGAAAGUUACAUGAUUGUAUUCUAGAAGCUCAUAGCAUUGUUUCCGAUAGAUCCCAAGUCUAAUGGAUAGCCAAAGCACAAUAAAUAUCAAUUAGCAGCAAAAAGUAAAUUUGUCAAUUUCCACAAAUCUUAAACAAGAAUGUAAGACUUGCAUGAAAUACUUCCCAAAUAAGUAUUUUACGUACAUACUUGAGACUGGCCGAAAAAACUUUAUUAUUGUAAACAGUGUGUUAAGAGACUAUCCAAUUUGCAUUAGUCCGUGUGUACGGAAUAAUGCAUCAGAGGAAAAUUCUAGAAUACUCACAUGUUAUCAAAAAAAAUACCCACACAAUCCUCAUUGUGUGUGACUUGUAAGACCCUUGUGAAGGUACCUUUGUAUGCCAAGUGGAGUUCAUCCACUUUAUAUUUUUGGUAAUGGGAGUUUGUAAUAGAGUAUUUAAUUUCUUGAAAGGAACAGAAUUUGUACAAUGUUCAAGGUUCAUAGAACAUAAUGUUCUAUAGAGUUUCAUGGAGAAGCUUUUCAGCGCCUUUAGGAGAGUCAUCACGAAUGAUCCAUGGUGGGAAGGAAACUUAUGGAAAGUUAAAAAGAAAAUAUUCUUUCUAAUUCUCUUGUAAAUAUCUAGAUAGAAAAAUUAAGAGAAUUUGUGGGUUAGGAUAUGAUAUUGGAUGACAUAGACAACUGCAUGCGAUAACAAGCAAGGUAAGGCAUUACAUGCUGACGCAAGACCAUCGACUCCCCGAGGGCGCGCUACCUCUAUGCGAGGCCAUCGACCCCCAGGGGGCUCUACCUCUACGCGAGGUCAUCGACCCCCCAACAGCUCUCUACCUCUACGUGUGGCUACCGACACCCUGCGGGGGCGCUCUACCUCUGUGAGACCAUCGACCCCCCGAAGACGCUCUACCUCUACGCGAAGCCAUCGACCCCCUGGGGGCGCUCUACCUCUACGCGAGGCCAUCGACCCCCAUGAGCUCUCUACCUCUACGCGUGGCCAUUGACCCUUCGGGGGGCGCUUUACCUCUAUGCGAGGUCAUCAACCCCUCUGGUACGUGAUGCCAUCGACCCCCCGGGGGCUCUACCUCUAUGCGAGGCCAUCGACCCCCCAUGGGCUCUCUACCUCUAGGCGAGGCCAUCGACCCUCCGAGGACGCUCUACCUCUACGCAAGGCCAUCGACCCCCCAUGGGCUCUCUACCUCUACGCGAUGCCAUCGACCUCCCGGGGGCACUCUACCUCUACUCGAGAUCAUCGACCCCCGACGGGCUCUCUAUUUCUACAUGUGGCCAUCGACCCCCCCGGUGGUGUUCUACCUCUAUGCGAAGCCAUCGACCCUGUGGGGGCGCUCUACCUCUACGCGAGACCAUCGACCCCAAUGGGCUCUUUACCUCUACGCGUGACUAUCAACCCCUCGGGGGGCGCUCUAUCUCGCUCUACCUCUACGCGUGGCCAUCGACCCCCCCAGGGGCUCUAUCUCUACACGAGGCCAUCGACCCCCCAUGGGCUCUCUACCUCUACGUGAGGUAACCGACCCCCCCGGGGACGCUCUACCUUUACACAAGGCCAUCGACCCCCCCUAUGGGCUCUCUACCUCUACGCGUGGCCAUUGACCCCCAGGGCGCUUUACCUCUACGCGAUAUCGUCGACCGGCAUGGAAUUACCUACGUGACCACCCUAAUACUUAGCCAUAAGAUCUCUGAUAAAUUGACAAGGUUUCAUGGUGGUUACCACGGGCACAACCACCAGCCCAAAAGUUAAAGACCCCCCACUCAGAACAUAGGGGUAGUGGGAAAGCCAACGUGGGACACGUGACACCACGAUCGUGUGACAUUCACCGGCUUCUGAUGUCUAUAAAUACCCCCGAAGGUGACAGAGGUAUGGGAAUAUCAUUUUUCUUAGCCAUUUGAAUUCCCUCCUUAUUUUUCCUAAUACCAUAUACUGAUUAUCACAUCGGAGGUAAAACGAAGGAGAAAGCCCCACCCUCAUUUUUCAGGUUACACACGCCCGAUGGAGAAGCGGGAAUGCUAAAUACCACCAGGUGGACAAGGAGGUGUUGACUCACCGCCAUUUCAUUGGCGUCGUCUAUGGGAAGUUCUUCCACUGAACAUAAAAGUUAUGUCAAGAAGACAAACAAGAAGAGAUACACUUUUAAGGGAGGCUGCGGCAAAGACGGAGUCAGAGUCAGUCGCAAGGGGCUCCGGCCUACCAUCGCCAUCACAGUAUGUGACACAAAGCCAUAUCAGCAUCCUAGAGACCUAGUUGGUAGCAAUGAUAACCUUUUUGCAGAAUUAAAUGCAGAGAGCUACCCUCCCGCCAUUGCACUCGACGGAGGCCGUGCCGCCACCCUUGGGGACACACGUAGAAGCCCCACCUGUCAUCCAACCGGUGACGGUAGGCUCACGGGCUUCGAGGAUGAUAGUCAUGCGGCCCUCAUCACCCAUGGUAGUUCUGUAGCGAAGGAUGAAGGAGAUCAUGACGUAAAAGAUAGAUGAUGCAUUAUCCAGGAGAAAGGACAAGUGUAGGCAGAUGGUUUUGGAAGAAAACCCGUACGCACUUGAAAUUAUGGCGGUCCAUCUACCCGAGGGCUUCAAGCAACCUAUCGUAGAAGCUUACGACGGGGUCACGAAUAAGCUUGACCACCUCCGGACCUUCGUUGAUUUAAUAAGACUAUAUGCAGCACCCAAUGCAGAGAUGUGCUGGUCCUUACUUAGUCCUUAGGAAGGAAGCUAGAGACUGGAUGGCGACAUUAGUCUCCUAGACUAUUUGAAUGUUUGAUGAGUCUCCAGGAGCUUUGUGGCCUACUUCCUCAAUAGCAAGAGGAAGAGAAAGAUAGUUAUUGGCUUGAUGCAGGUCGUCCAAGAGAAGGACGAGUUUUUGUAAGAAUACUUGGCCAGAUUCAACCGAACCACCCCCCUACAGGGCUUUGGAGGGGCUACGGUAAUUUCAGAAGGGACUGUGGAGCUUCCAAUCACGCUAGGCACAUAUCCAACCACUGUGGUUAUUGUGGCGAGCUUUUUAGUUGUCAAAACCCCCGUGGCCUACAAUGCAAUCUACGGUUGGCCACUCUAAAUGCAGUCGGGGCCAUUCCCUUAACCUAUCAUCUGGUCAUGAAAUUCCCUACCAAUAGGGGGUCGGGUAUAUGUGAGGGGAUAAACAAGCGUCUAAGAGAUGUUAUGUCGAUAGUGUAUCAGCCAGAGGAGCACCACUGAUCAUGAUGUUAGAUGUCGAGCGUCCAAUAGGACGGAUCAAACCACUUGACAUGAUUGAAAAGAUCUAUGUAUCAGAAAGACAGGAGUUCAGCAUCAAGGUCGGACUGAAAUUCGAUGAAAAGGAAAAGUUGGUAAGAUGCUUGGUAGAUAACCUGGACGUUUUCACAUGGAGUCCAAGCGACAUCACUGGAAUCAGUCUAGCGAUCGCACAACAUUGCCUCGGUGUCCUAUUAGGAGCCAAAUCAGUGAAGUAGAAGAAAAGGAACCUCGUCCCUGAAAGGCAAGGAGUAGCUAAAGCGAAGGUGAAAAAGCUACUACAAGCUAGUUUCAUCCGAGAGGUGCAGUACCCCGAAUGGCUGGCCAACAUCGUGCUAGUGAAGAGGUCAAAUGGGAAAUGGCACAUGUGCGUGGAUUACACCAGGCUAAAUAAGGCAUGCCCAAAGGACUCAUACUCGCUCCCUUGGAUAGACCACCUAGUCGAUGCCACAUCAGGUUAUGAAAGGCUUAGCUUUUUGGACGUGUUCUUCGGAUAUCAUCAAAUCUCUAUGGUCGAGUUUGACUAGGAGAAGACGUUAUUUAUCAUGAAUUUUGGGACCCACUGUUAUACGGCCAUGCCAUUCAGGCUAAAAAACGUAGGGCAACUUACCAAAGAAUGGUGAAUAAGGUCUUCCAGGAGUUGAUUAGGACUAUCAUAAAGGCCUAUGUCGACGACAUGGUGGUAAAAAGUGUUACCAUUUUUCAAAGCCACAGGGCGCUCUACUAAUUUAGAGUAGAUGUAAAAGUACAAAGAAUUGCUGGAAUCCUUGAAGCAGUCACUACAGCAACCUCCAAUUUUGACCAGCCCGUGCCCGGGGGAUAUACAGUGUCUUUAUCUAGCGAUUUCACCCUGGGCAGUCAGUGCAGUACUAGUGAAAGAAUUCCCAAAGGUAUAAAAACCAGUCUACUACAUAAGCCUGGUUCUAAAGGGCGCAGAGACAAGAUAUAGCCUCACCAAGCAAUUGGUGCUCGCGUUGAUCAUCACGAUCUUACAUCAACUAGAGACAUCUGGGAGGUUGUUGAAAUGGGUGAUCGAAUUGAGUGAGCUUGACAUCGAAUUUAGGCCCAGGAGGGCCAUCAAAGUACAGGCUCUAGCAAAUUUUAUCGCCGAGCUCACCAUCCCACUAGAACCACUAGAAGGGCAAAAAAUGGAUUGGAAGAUUUUUGUGGACGGUUCUUCGAAUGCAGAGGGAUCAGGAGUUGAGAUCAUAAUGAUUGGACUGGACUCUGAAGAAUUUGAAUAUUCACUUGCUUUGAGUUUCCCGCUACCAAUGACGAUGCUGAAUAUGAGGCAAUGAUCACAAGCUUAGGUCUGGCAGCUAGGCAGGGGUAUCUUCAGUAGAGGUUUGCAGUGACUUGCAGUUAAUAGUUGGACAUGUGUUGGGAGAGUUUGAAGCGAAAGACGGAAAGAUGGCUGCAUAUUUGAUGAAAAUAAGGGAUAUACAAAAGGAAUUCACAAGCUUUAAGAUGACUAAGGUCCCACGAAAAAAUAAUGAGGGAGCAGGCGCAUUGGUAAGGCUCGUAUCGGCAAGCCAAAGAAAUCUACCACAGGCGGUGAACGUUCAAGUUCUACGACAACCUAGCAUUCAACGCUGGGCCAAGAUGAAGAACAUUGAGUAUGAAGAAAGUUGGAUGGAUCCACUGAUCAAAUAUCUCACGGAGGAUGAGGUACCAAAAAACGCUUUCGAAGCAAAGAGGUUGAGGGUUCGAGCAGUCUCAUUUACCAUCGUCAAUGGGCAGCUCUACAAGUGGGGCUUUACAUUGCUAUAUCUGACUUGCUUACUCUAUGGAGGCAUAUGGUCGACAUAGCCUAUGCGGUUAGACGGAGAGCCUUAGAAGCUAAAAAAGUGGCUAAGGCCCUUAACCGCUAGACCCCUCUCUCGACGGUCGACACAGUCCACGUGGCUAGGCGGAGAGCCUUAGAAGCCAAAAAAGUGGUUAUGGCCCUUAACCACUUGACCCCUCUCUCGACGGUCGACACAAUCCACGUGGCUAGGCGGAGAGCCUUAGAAGCCAAAAAAGUGGUUAUGACCCUUAACCGCUUGACCCCUCUCUCGAUGGUCGAUACAGCCUACGUGGCUAGGCGGAGAGCUUUAAAAACCAAAAAAUUGGCUAAGGCCCUUAACCGCUAGAUCCCUCUCUCGACGGUUGACAUAGUCCAAGCGGCUAGGCGGAAAGCCUUAGAAGCCAAAAAAUUGGCUAAGGCCCUUAACCGCUUUACCCCUCUCUCGACGGUUGUCAUAGCCCACGCGGCUAGCGGAGAGCCUUAGAAGCCAAAAAAUUGGCUAAGGUCCUUAACCGCUAGACACUUCUCUUAACGGUCGACAUAGCCCACGCGGCUAGGCGGAGAGCCUUAGAAGUCAAAAAAAUGGCUAAGGCCCUUAACCACUAGACUCCUCUCCUGACGGUCGACAUAUUUCACGUGGCUAGAUGGAGAGACUUAGAAGUAAAAAAAUUGACUAAAACCCUUAACCGCUAGAUCUCUCUCCCGACGAUCGACAUAGCCCAUGAAGCUAGGCGGAGAGCCUUAGAAGCCAAAAAAUUGACUAAGGCUCUUAACCGCUAGACCCCUCUCUCGACGAUCAACAUAGCCCACUCGACUAGGCGGAGAGCCUUAAAAACCAAAAAAUUGACUAAGACCCUUAAUCGCUAGACCUAUCUCUUGAAGGUCGAUAUGGCCCACGCAACUUGGCGAAGAGCAUUAGAGGUCAAGAAAUUGGCUAAGACCCAUAACCACUAGACACCACAUUUGACGGUCGACACAACGCAAGCGGAAAGACAGAAAGCCUUCGAAAAAAAAAAUAAAUAAAAUUUUUUGAGAAAAGGAAUAUGCUACCCUUUGCCCAAAAACAUCGACAAGGGGUAAGGGGGCUAGUGAUAUUGGAUGGCAUAGACAACCGCCUGCGAUAACGAGCAAGGUAAGACAUUACAUGCUGACGCAAGACCAUCGACCCCUCGGGGGGCUCUACCUCUACGUGAAGCCAUCGACCUCCUGGGGGCGCUCUACCUUUACACGUGGCCAUCGACCUCCAGGGGCUCUCUACCUCUACGCGUGGCUAUCGACCCUUCAGGGGGUGCUCUACCUCUAUGUGAGGUCAUCGACCCCCUCGAGGCGCUCUACCUCUACGCAUGGCCAUCGACCCCCCAUGGGCUCUCUACCUCUACGCGAGGACAUCGACCCCCUCGGGGACGCUCUAUCUCUAUGCAAGGCCAUCGACCCUCCAUGGGCUCUCUACCUCUACGUGAGGCCAUCGACCUCCCACGGGCUCCCUACUCUAUACGUGGCCAUCGACCCCGGCUCUAUGCGAAGCCAUCGACCCCCCGGGGGCGCUCUACCUCUACACGAAGCCAUCGACCCUCUAGGGGCACUCUACCUCUACGCGAGGCCAUCGACCCCCAUGGGCUUUCUACCUCUACGUGUGGCCAUCGACCCCUCGGGGGGCACUCUACCUCUAUGCGAGGUCAUCAGCCCCCCAGGGUGCUCUACCUCUACACGUGGCCAUCGAUCCCCCGGGGGGCUCUACCUCUACGUGAGGCCAUCGACCCCCCCCCCGGGGACGCUCUACCUCUACGCAAGGCCAUCGAACCCCCUAUGGGCUCUCUACCUCUCCGCGUGGCCAUCGACCCCCAGGGGCGCUCUACCUUUACGCGAUAUCGUUGAUCGGCAUGGAAUUACCUACGUGACCAACCUAAUACUUAGCCAUAAGAUCUCUGAUGAAUUGACAAGUUUCCAUGGCGGUUACCACGGGCACAACCACCAGCCGGAAAGUUAAAGACCCCCCACUCAGAACGUGGGGGUAGUGGGAAGGCCAACGUGGGACACGUGGCAUCACGCCCGUGCGACAUUCACCGGCUUCUAGUGUCUAUAAAUACCCCUGAAGGUGACAAAGGUAUGGGGAUAGCAUUUUUCUUAGCCAUCUGAAUUCCCUCCUUAUUUUUCCUAAUACCAUAUACUGAUCAUCACGCCGGAAGUAAAACGGGGGAGAAAGUCCCACCCUCAUUUUUCAGGUUACACACGCUCAACGGAGUAGCGAGAACGCUAAAUACCACCAGGUGGACAAGGAGGUGUUGACUCACUGUCAUUUUAGGAUAGAUAUUCGUCGUCCAUUGAAAGGAGAUUGAAAUAUGAAAGGGGGCAAUCUGUAAAUGAGAGUAAGGUAAGCUGCAUCUUUUCCUCUUGAGAAUACUAAUGUCUUUAUAUUUAAAUUUGAAAAUGAGAGUGCAUACCUAAGGUCUUGGAACGAUCCCCACAACAUGUUUACACUAACAAUCAUGUUACAAGUAUAGAAAGUUUUGACAAAAUUUUUUUACUAGCAACACACGGUUAUAAUUCAUUGGAGAGUGGGAAAAAAUCCAGACAAAUAAGAUGUUGUCACAAAAGCAUCUAUAAGAAUUUUGUUGAGAAUUUCUGUGCUUAGAUCUUUUCCUUACACUAAACCCCUUUUUCAGACCACAGCCUCCAAUAUUUCAAAUGACUUAAUCGGAUGUUUUAUCUCCUUGAAGCGAGACGUAAACCUUGAUUCAAGCCUCAAAAUAUAAGAAUAAAAUAAUUCAAAAUAAUAUUAAAAUUUGUUCUUAAUAUACCAUAAUUCUUUUUUAAAAGUUCAUGAUAAAGUUAAUCAACAAAAUUAAAGUCUAAUUUGGAAACAAACAUAAAUAGAUCAAUAAAAUAGAAAAUAAUGAGUUCUCUAAUCAGUAACUAUUAAUAAUCGUGUAACAAAAUUAUAAUUUAUUACUUUACUAAAAGUGAAGAUAAAUAAAAGAUUUUCUUAUAUCUCACUACUAAUAUUGUAAGUUUCUUUUAAUUCUUUGUCGUCAUCAUCCAAUUGUAAUUGUGUAUUUUCCUUUCCAACUUCCGUAGGUAGAAAAAGGAAAAUGAAAAAAAUCCAUGAAAUAUUUUAGAUUAUAGAGUUAUUAAAAUAUUUCAAAUUCAAUUCCACUCCAAUGUUAACCCAUUGGGCUAGAGGAAAUCCAUUGAACAUUCAACACUAAUAGCACUAUCAUGGAUCGAAAUGAAGUACUAUAUAUUUUAAAGAUUUUAUUCAAAUAUUAUUUCUUAAUAGAUUUUGCUCGUAACAUAAUAAAGUCGUCCAUUCUUUUACACAUCAGUUGUAUUGGGACAUAAGCACACCCCUCUACGCUGUUCAUGUAGCAGUGUUAACUAUUCCAUAACUAAUUUGGAGAGUUUUGAGAAGAUGGAUACAAGAGUCCUUUAUUUUUUAUUGUCAUUUUUUUACCUAGAGCAAGAUCAAUAUUGCCGUUCUUGUGUCGAGAUAGUCUUGACCAAGGUCAAGAUUUUAGCUACUUCGAAAAGAAGCACUUACCUAACAUUUUGUUUUUCAACAUGAUUUAUGAUUCUCCAUCAAGAUGGAGUCUAAAUUGCAAGCACCUUAGAUAUACGUACGUGUUUGCUCAUGUGUGAGUGCUUGUUCCGUUAAGUAUGUUUUUUUUUUUUUUUUUUUUUGGGGUCAAAUCUGUGUUUAUAAUUAAUGCCUAUGCGAACCAUUAUCAAAUAUAUUGUUAAAAUUAAUGUUUGAUUUUGACUUGAAAUUAUAAAAAAAUUAUAAUAAAACUCAAACAAACACGGUAACCUGUUGGGUAAAAGUAAGUUUGAUUUUACAUAUAUGUAUUAUACAUAUAUACAUAUGUGUAUAUGUAUACGNNNNNNNNNNNNNNNNNNNNNNNNNNNNNNNNNNNNNNNNNNNNNNNNNNNNNNNNNNNNNNNNNNNNNNNNNNNNNNNNNNNNNNNNNNNNNNNNNNNNNNNNNNNNNNNNNNNNNNNNNNNNNNNNNNNNNNNNNNNNNNNNNNNNNNNNNNNNNNNNNNNNNNNUACAUAUACGUAUACAUAUACACAUAUAUUGUUGACGUCAAAAUUAGCAAGACUAAUUUUAAACCAACUUUAAGAAGAAAAAAGGGAAUUUAUUAUUGAAAGAAACCACAAAAUAUGUUGAGAACGUGUAAUUCUGCCAUGAGCUUGUACAUGAAUUCACUUGCCCUUUACCAGAUUUCUACCCUACUAUUUAUACAUGGCUCCAGCCUAAAUUACAUUAAAUCAAUCAAAUCAGCUACAGUACCAAGCCCAAAACUCGGGUUUCCAACUCUCCUGAUUGGUUAAUGAGGUCGGUGGCCAUGUGUCAAUGUUUUCCCCAGGUAAUGAUGACCUGCAAGGGGCUUGAGAAUCAUGGCUUCGAAUUGGCGGUUUUAGGCGGUGAUGACGUCACUUGUGGCAAGUUUAUAUGAUUGUUAGGGUGAUGUGACAGGAGGUAAUCAUGAUAUUUUCUUGAGAUAACGGCGAGCUAGUCCGAUUUGGGAGCAGUGACCGAACUCACAUCUGCCUGUGGUGGGUUUAGCGAAUUGUUUUUGUUAGAUCGGAGUUCGGUAGUCAACAUAUAUGUAUAAAUAGAUCUGAAAAUAUUUUUCAAAAUGAAGAAGAAAUUGAUCAAUCAUCUGCAUCAAAUGAUUUCAAUAGUCAUGAACCUCAAAUUGCUUAAAUAGAACAAAGAUUGCAUAACUGGACAUUUCCAAAGGUAGAAAAAAAUUCUAUUGAUGAAAUUGGAAAGUUUGAUUUUACUCAAAAUUACGUUAUCACAACUUUUGAACAAACGUUAUCAAUUAAAAAUCAAAAUGCUCAUAUCAAUCUAUUUUCAAAAGAAUCAAUUAAAUCCCACAUGAAGAAAUUUAAAUAUCUUCAUGUUGGAUUAGUUCAAAUUACUGUCAAACAUUUGUUUAGACUUGGGUUAGACAUUCCAAUUCUCUUAACUCUUCAAGAUAAGAGACUCUUCAAAUUUGAAAAUUCAUUAUUAUAUGUUCUAGAGUUAAAUCUAGAAAGUGGUCCAAUUUAUUCAAAUUGUUAUCCAAAUUUUUUUAUUAAUCUCAAUGAUGGAGCUAUUCUUAAUGCUUUAAAUCUCCAUAUUCAAACCAAAAAUCUUAAUUUCGAUGAUCGUUCAAAUGCUUUUACUGUAAUAUACAGGAUAUAUUACAAGCUCAUGAAUACUCAACUAAACAUUGGUGCUUUACGUUCAUCUUCUAAAGAUGAAAGUCUUUUGGUUGAAUGUAAUCCUUUUCAUUCAAACACCAUAAUUCCCAAGAGAAUUCCUUGGAAUCUUCAAAGUCGUGGACUAGAAUGAAAUUUUGAAAAUGUUCAAAAUCCUAUUCUUGUUCCUAUUCAAACAAUUCCAAAUCAAAUUCUUACUUUUCCAGAUAGAAACGUCAAAAUGACUUUCAAAGGAUCUUCUUAAGUUUUAAAGAUCUUACUCUUUGAGAUCUAAAGAUAAACCUAGAUCUUCUUAUCAAUCUGCAAGAUUUUCAACAUCUUCUCUUUCAGGUGUUUAUUUCACUCCACAUAUUUCAAAACCUCAAUAUUCUGAAAAAGAUACAUAAAAAGAAGAAGAAUUAGAACAACCCGCUUCUCCAACUUUUUUUGACAUGUUUUCUACUCAAAAUGAAAGACUUGAUCAUCAAACAAAUGUUAUUUCUUCUAGGAUUGACAGAAGAAAUGAAUUCAAAACUGAUCAAACUCCUGAUGUUAAAAGUUUUCGAAAAAUAUUUCGUUAAAGUUUUUCUAAAGAAGAACGAGAAUUUUAUUGGGAAGUAUUUGAAGAAUUCCCUAACAAUUUAAGUUUUUAUGAAUGGGCUUAUUUCAAAGUUUUCAAUAAAAAGCCUACUUUUUCAAAAAUUUCUUCAAAAUCAAAGAAAGAAAAAUCUAUUCAAGUUACUAAUAUUCCACAGAGGACUUGGAAAACUCCUUCUGGUGAAAAUAUUCAAUCUUUUCAUCCUCAUUUGCAAGAUAUUGUAGUUCCACAUGGAAAUACAGAAGUUAUUGCUUCUCAUUUCAAAAAGUUAUCUGAAGAACGACCUGAUGAAUCUCAAGUUAUUGUUAAGGAUAUCAAAAAUAUUCAAGCUCAAAAUAACUACACUAAUGUAGUUCUUCAAUCUGUCUGUUCUCAACUUAAUAGAAUUGAAAUAAAUUCUGAACCUGAAACAUCAUCCUCUUCAAAAGGUAUUAAGCUAAUAGAGCCAUUUUUAUUUAACAGGCAUGAGGCUAAACCAAGAAAUGGUCUCAAAAUUGAGAUUAAUGUUCUAAAAGAACUUGCUACUAUAUUAUCAAAAAUAUCAUCAUCCUCUACUUCAAAUAAUAUCAAUACUAUUUACGAUAUUGAAUCUCAAUAUAUUGAUGAUGAAGUUCCUCAAAUUAAUAAACUUCAAGGCAAAAAAGUUCAAUUUUCAAAAAUUCUUCCUUAUUAUCCAAAAAAUACUCCUCCAGAUUUACUUUUCGAACAAAAGGCUAAAAUGCCUGCGACAUUUUUUGGUUCAGGAAUAACUAUCUGGAAUAUAGAUGGGUUAACUGAAUAUCAAAUAUUUGAAAUUCUUGAAAGUAUGUUUGCUUAUUAUAAUGCCUAUAUUCAAGAAGGAAUUUUUCCAAUUGAGGCAACAAACAAUAUUAUUCAAGGACUUUCUGGUCAAAUUAAUAAAUGGUGGUUCAAUUAUAUUACUGAACAAGAAAAACUACAAAUUGCUCAAGCUCUAAAACCCGACGGUUCAAAUGAUUGUUUUAAUACAAUAAUUUAUUGUAUUAUUAAACAUUUCAUUAGAUCUCCAACAAAUGUUUUAGAAAAAAUUUCAAGUAUUUUAUUAACUUUAAAUUGUUCAAGUUUACAAGAUUUUCGUUGGUACAAAGACAUAUUUUUAUCACGUAUAUUUUUACGAAAAGAUUGUAAUCAAACUUAUUGGAAAGAAAGAUUUUUAUCUGGACUUAUUUUCUGAAAGAGUAAAAAAU
rnacentral:lncRNA from 1 species